AAUGGAGUUCCCAUAAACUCCGAAAGUUUAAUAAAACAAUUACCAAGACAUUUGCGGAAAACAACCCCUAGAACCUGAAGGUCAAUGUACCAAAACUCUACUAAGGACAAGUCUAAGAACAAGGGGUACAACCCCGAAACUAAACAAACGAAUAUCUAAAGUACUAGUCUAAGUUCGAAGGAAAUGGACUAAACAGAAUGAGAACUCAUGGCAGCCUCGAAGAACUAGCUCACCCUUGAAUUCGGUCUCGAUCAGUGAUCUCCAAAAUGAGGUUUGUCAAUAGCCGCCUGAAGAUGCCAUGUACUCAAUAAAGAAAGAACAAGUGCACUAUCAGUACACAACCAUAGUAAACUGGUAGGAUCACGCGGCUAUUCCAGUAAGCGAAACAUAUAUAAACAGUCACAACAUAGUAAACAUGGCAUGCACAACAUAUAUAUAUAUAUAUAUACUACAUCGAUUAUCAGUUCAGGAGCAAUGUACAAUUCGACAUUUGUAAUAACAAGUAACUAUGCCAAUUCAAUGGUCCUCUCAUGGAACCCAAAUCAAACUGUUAGUGUGCCGGAACAUGACAUCUGAUCCCAACUAGUGUGUUGGAAUGUGACACCCGAUCUAAUAUAUGUGUCGGAAUGUGACACCCGAUCCAAACCCGAUCCAAUCAACACAAUCACAUUCACACUAAUAAUCAUACAAUCAAGUGUUGAAUCAUGACAUACAUUUGUUCAUUCAUACUCAAUUCAUUUGGUUUGAUCAAUAGUGUUUCAUUCACAUACAUAUAUGCAUUACAAUGAAGCAAUUACCAACAUACAUCACACAAACAUGAAAUCAAACCAUCACCUACCUUGAAACCAAGCUUGAAUCCACCCAAGGCACUUGAAUCUUCCCUUUCCGGAUUCUUUUCGCUUGUUCAUGGUCUAAACACAACAAAUAAAUGCAAGGAUCAAUAAACGAGGCCUAAUUACCCGGAUUACAAUCAAAAUUAUCAACCCAAGGCCAAAACCAAGAUCCGAAUACCCAACUUAGGGCUUUUUCCACCAUUAGUUUCAGGUCAAAACCCUUCCCCAAUGAUAAUCACCCAAGAAUCUAAGUUCUACGGAUUGAAAAAUGGAUUAGGUGAGUAAAAACCUUACCUUUAGCUCUAGAAGUGGUCAAAAAUUGUCAAGAACUUGCCCUGGGUCGUCUCCUAACUCUUAAGAACAAAGUUUGCAGAAAAAUAAUAAAAUUGGGGUUUUUCCCCAACUUAAUUCGCGACUAAGUCGCUACAGUGGACCCUAUCCCACCAUAGUGGCCCCGCCCUGGCAGGAAUAAUCCCUCCACAGCGGCCUACACGGAGACAAAACCUUAGAAUUUGAGUUCCAAGCUCUUAUUUCACAACACACCUUCGACCCAUGAUGUUCAAAAACUACCCUUUCACGCUAAGAUUAGUUUCGGGAGUUUUACUCGCCUAAAUUCGAUUCUGGAAAGUCCUAAAGGUUCCUGAACGUCUUAGUUAUCUACUCAUGUGAUCAAUUCAUAAAUAGACCCCCCAUUCAUUACUAGAUUUCCCUAGACCUCACCUGACUCAGAUUUCAUCCAAAUCUGGACUAGGCUACAAUUUUUCAAGUCACCACUCAAAAGUUUUCUGGCCCCAAUUAUUUCCCCAUUGGCUUUUAUAUAACGACGGGAACAUGUCGUUACAAUAGAUAUCAAUUUACCCAUCACUUGUCCCUGAGUGAUAAACUGGCUAAAGUAAGAGUAGAGUAGUACCUGAAUCAUCGAACAAAUGGGAUACUUGUCUCGCAUGUCCUUCUCGGUUUCCCAAGUAGCUUCCUCAGUUGGACGAUGCUUCCAUUGAAAUUUCACGAACUUAAUCUUUUUGGUCCUCAACUUCCGAAAAUCACGAUCAAGAAUUGCAAUCAUUUCCUCUUCAUAUUAAAUGUCUUUGUCUAACAACACUGAGUCCCACUUUAAGAUGUAGUCUCCGUCCCCAUGAUACUUCUUCAACAUUGACACAUGAAACACUAGAUGAACUCCAGAUAAGCUAGGUGGUAAAACCAACCUAUAAGCCACUGGCCCUACAUAGUCAAGAACCUUAAAUGGACCAAUGUAUCGAGGACUAAGCUUGUCCUUCUUACCAAAUCUCAUCACCCCCUUUAUGGGUGGCACUUUUAGAAGAACUUGUUCACCAGCCUGAAAUGUCAUGUCCCUUACCUUACAAUCCACAUACUUUUUCUACCGACUCUGGGCUUCUAGAAGCUUACAUUGGAUACUUCUCACCUUAUCCUGAUCAUCUUUCACCUAAUUAACCCCCAAAGGUUUCACAUCUUCAACCUCAAACCACACUAUGGGAGAUCUACACCCUCUUCCAUAAAGUGCCUCAAACGGUGCCAUGUCAUUGCUGGAGUGGUAACUGUUAUUAUAGGAGAACUCACACAACGGUAGGAACUUAUCCCAAUGCCCUCCUAAGUGAAUCACACAUGCUCUCAACAUGUCCUCUAACACUUGAAUCGUUCUCUGUGACUGCCCAUUCAUCUCUGGAUGGAUAGUUGUACUAAAAGUGAGUUGAGUGCCCAACUCAUCAUGCAAUUUUCCCCAAAACUUGGAUGUGAACUGCGUACCACGGUUCGAGAUGAUAGAAAGGGGCACCCCAUGCAGUCUCACUAUCUCAUUCACAUAAACUUUAGCAACCUGCUGAGCAUUAUAAUCUACUCAGACUGGAAUAAAGUGGACUGACUUAGUCAAUCUGUCAACCACUACCCAAAUGGAAUCAAACUUUCCCAAGGUAUUAGGGAGACCAACCACUAAAUCCAUAGCUAUCCUCUCCCACUUCCAUUCUGGAAUUAGCAUUCGCUGAAGCAAACCUGUAGGCCUUUGGUGCUCAUACUUUACAUGCUGAUAGUUUUGGCACUUAGCCACAAACUUAGCUAUGUCUUUCUUCAUGCCAGGCCACCAAUAAAGUCGCUUCAAAUCUUGGUACAUCUUGGUCACACCCAGAUGAAUGGAAUACCGCGAACCAUGUGAUUCUGUCAACAUUUUCUGAAUCAAGUUAUCCACUCGGGGAACAAAAAUUAUCCCCUUAAAACUUAGCACACCUUCCACAUCAAGAACCAUAUCUUGUGCCUUAAAAAUUACUGUCUUCUUUCUAAGCUCAUUCAAAUUCUCAUCGUCAAACUGUUUGGCCUUGAUCUCCUCAAUGAACGUGGGUCUAACCUCAAUGCUAGCUAAUACCCCACCUUUCUAUGAGAUGCCUAACUGCAUGAACUUAGACUCCACGGUCUGAAUCUCCUUGGCCGAAGGUCGCUUGGAUACACCCAAACAAGCUAGACUACCCAUGCUUACCACCUUUCAGCUUAGUGCGUCUACCGCCACAUUAGCCUUACCCGGAUGAUAUUGGAUGGUGACAUCAUAAUCCUUAAGUAACUCCGUGCACAUUCGUUGUCUCAGAUUUAGGUCCUUUGGGUGAAUACAUGUUGCAGACUACGAUGAUCAGGAAACACCUCACACUUGACACCAUAGAGGUAAUGCCGCCAGAUCUUAAGAGCGAACACUAGCACUGCCAACUCCAAAUCAUGCGUCGGGUAAUUUCUCUCAUAUACUAUGAAUUGCCGCAUUGCAUAAGCUAUGACAUUCUUACCCUACAUAAACACAUCACCAAACCCGAAUGUGAAGCAUCACAAUAAAUAAUGAAAUAUUUACCUUCCACGUGUAGUGCCAGAAUUGGUGCGGUGGUCAAGAGAGUCUUGAGCUUUUGAAAUCUCUUUUCACAUUUUUAGUUCAUUUGAAAGGCACCUCCUUUUUAGUCAACCUUGUUAGAUGUGUGGCAAUAAAAGAAAAGUUUUUCACAAACCGACGAUAGUAGCUAGCGAGCCCCACAAAACUCCUAACUUCAGUCACAGUGCUAGGCCAGACCCAAUUCUUAACCACUUCAAUCUUUUGGGGAUCUACCAUCACCCCUUCCCUUCAAACCACAUGCCCCAAUAAGACAACUGAAAUCCAACCAGAACUCACACUUGGAAAAUUUGGCAUACAAUUUUUGUUUCCCAAGGACACCCAAAAAGUAUACGAAGAUGGUCUGCAUGGUCUUCUUUAAUCUUUGAAUACACCAAAAUGUCAUCAAUAAAGAAAAUAACAAAAGAAUCCAGGAAUGGUUUAAACACACCAUUCAUAAAACUCAUGAAGGUUGCAGGCGCAUUGGUCAAUCCAAAUGACAUCACUAAAAACUCAUAGUGCCCAUAGCCGGUCCUAAAUGUCAUUUUGGGUACAUCUUCUGGCCUAAUCUUUAACUGAUGGUAACAAGACCUUAGAUAAAUCUUAGAGAAACUGACGCACCCUGCAACUCGUUAAAAAGAUCAUUUAUCAAAGACAACUGAUACUUAUUUCGAAUGGUGACCCUAUUCAACUGCCGAUAGUCUAUGCACAUCCUCAUACUACCAUUCUUUUUCUUAACAAACAAGACAGGAGAACCCCACAGGGAAGCACUAAGACGAAUGAAACCUUUAUCAAGAAGUUCGUGAAGUUAAGUCCUAAGCUCUCUUAACUCUGAUGGAGCCAUGCAAUAAGGAGGAAUGGAGAUGGGGAGAGUACCAGGUUCCAAAUCAAUGCACAAAUCUAUAUCUCUAUCCGGAGGCAUACUAGGAAAAUCAGUAGGAAACACUUCUCUAAAUUUCGACACCACGGGAAUAGAAUCAAUAGAGGGAGACCCGACCUCAACAUCCCGAACAUAAGCCAAAUAUGCUAAACACCCCUACCCUACCAGUUUCCUAGCCCGGAUGGAAGAUAUGACCUUAGUUGGCUUAGGCUUGUACACCCCUUCCCACUCUAAAUUUUCCCUACCCGGGAUCCCUAGAGUCACAGACUUAGUAUUACAAUUUAACACAACAUAAUAGGGGGACAACCAAGUCAUGCCUAAGAUUAUAUCAAAGUUAGUCAUAUCCAAAAUAACCAAAUCUGCCCAAGUCUGAAAACUCAUAAACAUAAUAGGAAGGGCACGAUAAACAUGGGUGACUAUGACAAACUCUCCAACUGGGGUAAAAACAUGGAUGGGGGCAUCAGGUACAUCACAAACCGCAUCAUAUCCCAAGGCAAACUGAAAUGACACGUAUGAAAAAGUAGAACCUGGAUCAAACAAUACAUUAGACAUCUGGUCACAGAGAAGAAUAGUACAUAUGAUCACUGCAUCAGAUAUCUCUGCCUCGGUCUUACUCGGAAAGGCAUAAAACUGAGCCCUAUCAUUUUGAUGGCAGACCUUCUUGCCUGGCUGCGCUGCUCCUCUACCUGCAUUACCAUUUCCCCGACCUCCACGGCCUAGCUGAUUUCCCCCUUUCCCACCUUGUGAAUGUCCUCUACCAUUAUUAUUAUUGUUUGCGGGUACCACUUGUCUAGUCUGCUGCUACGCGGGGUCCAACAUGCGCAGUUGGGAACAAUCUCUCCUCAUAUGCCAGUUCGCCACAGUUAUAACAAAUGUGGUUAAAAUAUGGCCUUCUACCCGCCAAAGGUGCGGCUCCCUGGCUUUCUUAGCCAAAGCCUUAGCCUGCCCAUCACUUCUAACUCCCUCUACUUUCUUCACAAAGCCGGUCACCUCAUUAAAGCUUUUUCUUGCAGAAGUCGUGUGAACCGACAAUACCUGUCAUCUGGGGUUCAAACCUUUGACAAAUAGACGAAUCAUCUCCUCUUUUGUAGUUACCAAUUGUGGAUCAUAUCUUGACAAGGCAUGAAACUUAGUCUCAUAAGCAGCUGCAGUCAUACCACCCUGCUCCAAAGCCAUGAACUCAUCCUUCUUACGAUCUCUCAAAGUUCGGGGCACAUACUUUUCCAAAAAUAGAGCAUGAAACUGUGUCCCAGUGAGUGCGGGUAAAACUGACAAUUUGCAUUCCAUAUAGGCCCUCCACCACUACUUAGCCUCACCUAGAAGAUGGAAGGUCACGAUCUCUACUCCAUGCUGGUGUACAAUACCUAACUUGUGAAGCCUCUCAGAAUAGUCCAAAAUAAACUCAUAGGCAUCCUCACUCUCACAACCAUAAAAAACGGGCGACUUUAGUUUCAGAAACUUAGUCAGCAUCUCAUGCUCAUUACCAGUCAUCACAGGACCCAAUAAGGGGUGGAAAAAGACAUCGGUGCCUACUGCUCCACCCACCUUGGGAACAGUAACAAUAAUAGGGGGAUUGGCAGGAGGUUGAGCCGCUUGAACUGUGGGAAGGACUCCAGGGCCGACCAAUCCUUUCAGAAAUGUCAUGAUUUGUUGAGCUAACACUGGGUCUAAGGGAGGAAUACCUUUAGUCUCAGCUUGUACCUCCUCAUCUUGCCCAACAUCCUCCUCAUUAUCGACCUCCACAUCCUACUCUACCUCUUCGUGAUGUACGGGAUGAACCUCAUUUCUGGGAGAAUUCCCAACUGGAGAUCCACCCCUAGAAGGUGCUACUCUUCCUCUGCCCCUACCCAUUGCUCUUCCCCUACCCCUGCCUCGACCACGACCUCUAGCUGAGAACUCCUCGGCUGGCUUUUUGAAGGGAGUUGCGGGCCUGACACCAUUGAACCUAAUGUUAAUCAUCUGCGCACAGAAAAGUGAAGGAGAUUAGAUACCAUUUUGGAUCACCAGAUACCGAUUGGACUCAAGUUAUAGCACGAAAGAAGACAAGAGAAAACAGAGAGAUUUCCUAAAGUCCUAUAGCCUCUCGAAGAAAAAUAUAGACGUCUCUGUACCGUUUUGUAAGACUCUUCUAGACUCGUUAUGGUAUACCAAGAUCAACGAACCUAGAGCUGUAAUACAACUUUGUCACGACCCAAACCAUCGUCAUUGGCACCCACACUAACUACCGGGUUGGAGAAUCAUUACUACAACCCAACUUAAUGAAAACUAGAACAUUUAAAGAUACGGAAGCAGGUUUAAAUGACUAAAGAACAAUGGAGUUCCUAUAAACUCUGAAAGUUAAAUAAAACAAUUACCAAAACAUUUGAGGAAAACAACGCCUAGAACCUGAAGGUCAAUGUACCAAAACUCUACUAACGACAAGUCUAAGAGCAAGGGGUACAACCUCGAAACUAAACAAACAAAUAUCUAAAGUACUAUUCUAAGUCCGAAGGAAAAAAACUAAACAGAAUGAGAACUCAUGGCAGCCUGGAAGAACUGGCUCACCCUUGAAUUUGGUCUCGAUUACUGAUCUCCUAAAUGAGGUCUGUUAGUAGUCAUCUGAAGAUGCAUUGUACUCAACAAAGAAAGAGCAAGUGCACUAUCAGUAUACAACCAUAGUGUACUUGUAGGAUCACACGGCUAUUCCAAUAAGUGGAACAUAUAUAAGCAAUCACAACAUAGUAAACAUGACAUGUAAAGAAUAUAUAUAUAUAUAUAUAUAUACACACACACAUCGGUUGUCAUUUUAAGAACAAUGUAUAAUUCCACAUUCUCAAUAAUAAGUAGAUAUGACAAUUCAAUGGUCCUGUCAUGGAACCCAUACUCAAACUGUUAGUGUACCGGACGUGACACCUAAUCCCAAUUAGUGUGUUGGAACGUGACACCCAAUCCAAUCAACACAACCAUAAUAACAUUCACACUCAUAAUGUACAUACUCAUAAUCAUACAAUCAAGUUUUGAAUCAUGGCAUACAUUUGUUCAUUCAUACUCAAUUCAUUUGGUUUGAUCAAUAGUGUUUUGUUCACAUACAUACAUCCAUUACAAUUAAGCAAUUACCAACAUACAUCACACAAACAUGGAAUCAAACCAUCACCUACCUCGAACCAAGCUUGAAUCCCCCUAAGGCACUUGAAUCUUCCCUUUUCAAAUUCUUUUCGCUUGUUCAUUGUCUAAAAAUAAUAAAUUACUGUAAGGAUCAAUAAACGAGGACUAAUUACCCGGAUUACAAUCGAAAUUAUCAACCCUAGGCCAAAUGCAAGAUCCAAAUACCCAACUUUGUGCUUUUUCCACCAUUAGCUUCAGGUCUAAACCCUCCACCAAUGAUAAUCACCUAAGAAUCUAAGUUCUACUGAUCAAAAAACAUAUUAGGGGAGUAAAAUUCUUGCAUUUAGCGCUAGAAGAGGUGGAAAACUAUCAAGAACUUUCCCUGGGUCGUCUUCUAACUCUUAAGAACGAAAUUUGCAGAAAGAUAUCAAAAUUGGGGUUUUUCCCCGAUUUAAUUCGCGACUGACCCGCUACGACAGACCCUAUCCCGCCACAAUGGCCCCGCCCUAACUGGAAUAAUCCCUCCCCAACAGCUUACACGGAGAAAGAACCUAGGAAUUUAAGUUCCAAGCUUCUAUUUCACAACACGCCUUCAACCCAUGACGUUCAAAAACUACCAUUUCACGCAAAGAUUAGUUUCGGGAGUUCUACUUGCUCGAAUUUGAUUCCGUAAAGUCAUACGAGUUCCUUAACGUCUUAGCUAUCUACUCAUAUGAUCAAAUUCUUAAAUAGGUUCCCCAUUCAUUACCAUAUUUCCAUAGAUCUCACUUGACUCAGACUUCGUCCAAAUCUACACUAUGCUAGAGUUUUUUAAGUCACUACUCAAAAGUUUUUUGGCUCCAUUUCUUUCCCCAUUUGCUUUUCUAUAACGAGGGGAACAAUUCAUUAUUUAUUGCAAAUUAGACAUUUCAUUAGAUUUUAAUUUACUAUAUUUGUAACUAAUUGUUCCUGUCGUUAUGGAAAUGCCAAUGGGGAACGAAUUUGGACUACAAAACAUCUGCGUAGUAACUUGGAAAUUUCUAGCAUAGGCUAGACUUGGAUGAAAUCUGAGUCAGGUAAGUUCUAGGGAAAUCUGGUAAUGAAUGGGGAUUUAAUUAUGAAUUUGAUCACAUGAGUAGAUAGCCAAGACGUUAAAGAGCCUGUACGGCUUUACAGAAUCGAAUUCGGGAGAGUAUAACUCUUGAAACUGACCUUGGCGUGAAGGCGUAGUUUUAAAACGUCAAAGUUUGAAGGUGUGUUGUGAAAUGAGAGCUUGGAACUCAAAUUUUGACCUUCUAUCUUCGUUCAGGCCACUGGGGCGGGAUUAAUCACUCCAGGGUGAGGCCGAUGUGGCAGGAUGGGGUCUGUCGUGGCGGGUAAGUAGCGAGUUAAGUCAGGGGAAAACCCCAAAUCAUUAUUUUCUGCAAAACUUUGGUCUUGAGAGCUAGGAGACGACCUAGAGCAGUUCUUGACAGUUUUCCAUGAUUUCUAGCGCUAAAGGUAAGAUAAUUACUCCCCUAAUCCGUAUAUUGAUUCGUGGAACUUAGAAUCUUGGGUAAUUAUUAUGGGGGAGGGUUUGGCCUGAACUUAAUGGGGGGAAAAGCCUUAAUUGAACAUUAGGAUCUUAUGUUUGGCCUUGGGUCGAUAACUUUAGUUAUAAUUCGGGUAAAUUAGGCCUUGUUUAUUGAUCCUUGCAUUAUUUAACUGUUUUAGAGCAAUAACAAGCUGAAAAAAUCUAGAAAGGGAAGGCUCAAGUGUCUUAGGAGUUUUCAGGCUUGGUUUCGAGGUAGGUGAUGGUUUGAUUUCCUGUUUGUGUGAUAUAUUCCGGUUAAUUGCUUCCUUGUAUGCAUGCAUGUAUGUGAAUAGAUAAAUAUGAGUCAAAUCUAAUGAAAUGAUUAUGUGUGAACAAUUACAUACCAUAAACCUAUUACUUGAUUGUAUGACUAUGAUCACCGUUCAUUAUGAGUGUAAUUGUGACUGUAGAUGUGCUGACUGGAUUGGGUGUCACGUUCCGACACAUAUAUUAGAUCAGGUGUCACAUUCUCACACAUUUAUUAGAUUUGGUGUCACGUUCCAACACAUUUAUAUUGAAUCGGGUGUCACGUUCUGACACACUAAAUGUUUGUUGAUCUCAUGGUACCAAAACGAGUCUAGUAGAGUCUUGCAGAACAGUACGGAGACGUCUGUACUUUUCUUCGAAAGGCUACAAGACAUUACGAAAUCUCUCUGUCUUUUUCUCCCUUCGUGCUAUGACUUCAUUCCAAUUGGUAUCUCGUGAUCCAAAUUGGUAUCUAAUUCUCUUUCACUCUUCUGUCCGCAAAUGGUAUCUCGUGAUCCAAUUGGUAUCUCGUGAUCCAAAUUGGUAUCUAAUUCUCUUUCACUCUUCUGUCCGCAAAUGUAUUUUCAGCUUGCUCAAGAGAGAGGUCGCGAAGCCAAAACUACUAGACUAAUGGCCUAAGGAGUGAGUCGACAUGAGAUUCAGCCCGAGAGGGUGAGCCCUAGCCCUAUAUCCUAACACUCAGCUCUAACAAGAGAUGGCCAUGAGGGCCAAACAGAAGCUGACUUCCCUGCCAUUUCCUAUUCUGGUCACUGAGUUGUGCCGACGUGCUGGAGUAGUACAGGAUACCGAGAGGGAUAUCGAGAUCACUCCUUCAUCCUCCACUGACAUCCGGUGUAUUGAGGCCGAGUACACACGUGAGGAGGAUGACAUGAGGAGAGAAGCUACAGCAAAUACUACUCCAGAGGUCGAUGUUGACAUGCUACCUGCAGAUGCAUCUGCACCCACUCCGGCCUCUGGGCCACCAGGUACAUCAGCUUCUUCCUCUUCUUCACACGAUCCAGGUGCUUCUUCCUUUGGACAGCCGAUCAGGAUCACUCAGGCCAUGAUCCUGAAGAUGGGCCGUUUGGCCCAAACAGCUGACGCGCGGGUAGCCAAACUGGAGAGAUCAGUCCCAGGGAUGAUAGAGAGCGUCAUAGGUGUUGUAUUCACCCCCCUUUAGACAUUUGUCGAUGCUUUGACUUUGAGGGUUACAACCUGUGAGAGUUGACAAGGGAGAGUAGCUGAGGUACCAGCUUUGAAAGUUGAUGUUGCAGAGCUAUGGAGGGACGUAGACUAUCUGAAGUCUGUUGACUUCAAUGAAUUGAUGAAGACCGCUGAGGAUCAGGAUGCCCCUGGAGAUGCACAGAUGGGUGAUGCAGCAGUUGGAGAUACAGAUGCAUAAACUGAUGAGUAGUUGGCAGCAACAUAGGAGGAGCAGAGCAUCUUUGGAAAUUUGUCAGAUCUGGUGGGGACAGUUGUGUUGUCGGUGAUCCAGACAUCACUUGUUGAGACGUCCACAGCAGCUCUUACGGGACCCGGCACUACUGUUCAUCCUGAGGCUACUCUGGGCACUAAUGCCCAAGCACAGACUGCUGCUCAGAGUGUUGAUGCCCCAACAGGGGGAGAGGCUGCAUAGACAGGACCCUUCUUUACCUCUCUUUUUGUCUUACUUUGAUCAUACUUUUGGAUACUUUUAUUAUUUGCAUUUGAGGACAAAUACUUUUCAUUUUGUGGUGGGGUGAGGCUCACCUUUGUGUUGUUUUGAACUUUGUCUUGCAUAUAUAUUUGGGUUUUCUGUUUUUAACUGUGUUUUAAACUGCUUGUGCGAUUGUUUGAGCUUGUGGCUCCUUUUGAUUUAAUUACAAAACAAUUUUGACCCUUCCAAAAAAAUUUCAAUUUUCAAAAAAUUUUGCCACCUCUUGUGUUGAAAGUGGUUGUUCUCUUGCAAAUUUGAGUCUCAGUUUUGAUCAAUACCGAUGAUUGAAUAGUACUCUCAAUCAAACAAACAUGAAUGUGCGGCUACGACGAGACCAAAUGAAGUUGCAUACACAAUAUGUGAACUCUUUCCAUCUCGUUGUGAUUAGCCAUGUAUCAAAUUGAUUCUAUUGUGAUUACCGUUGCACACUAGCGAAAGUGUGGAGUCUUAUUUGACUUUAGUAUCGAUGCUUUGAGUGAUGAGCUUACUUUGAACCAUGCAUGAAUACACCUAGAAUUUUCUCCGUUAGUCCAAUUGAUUAAGUGAGGCAUACUCUUGAGAUGAUCUUAGGCAACUUUUGAGAGUGUGGGCCAAUUUGACAUAGACCUUUUCUUUAUCCACUACCUAUAAUUCUCUUGAUGUGUGGUUUAGUGAAUAGCCAACUUAGGCCAAAAGCCAAAGUUGGAGAAGUGGUAAAAAGGAAAGGGAAAGUCAAGAAGUGCAAGAAAAAUCUCCUGAACCUACGGUGUUGCAAAAAAUGGAAACCCUUUAUAUAAAAAAAAACAAGAGAAAAGAGAAAAAGAAAAGAAAAAGAAUGAAAAAGAAAGUUGUGGAAUAAAAGUGCAAAAGAAAUUGGGUUUCCAAGUAAUCCAUGGAAAGUAAAUAAUAGGAUGACUAAUGAGCACUAGAAUAAAAAAAUGAUGAAGGAAGAGAAAAGGAUGUGUUGAGAGCACCACAUCUUAUGAGGAUGAAAGUCACUGAACCUAAAUGACCAUACCUUUGCACUCAGCCCCAUUGCAAGCCUUAAAAAGACCUUUUUAAUCUUGAGUGAGUUGAACCGAAGAUUGAUUGGAAAAUACGAGCAAACCUAUGGGUGAAAGCAUGCAUUGUGUUCCUCUUUUUGAGUGUCAACGUUGCAUCUGAUUCUUGAUCUUUAAAUAAUUAAACAUUUGUGUGUGAAUAUGGAAUCAUUCUUUGUGUGAGAGCAUUUAGAUACUUUUGUUGAGCUUGAACUUGCAUUUGAAGCAAGUAUUGCGAGCAUGAGAAUCUUUUGUAAUGGUGUGUCACAACUUGAAUCUUUGAGUACACAAUUGAUCUUUCCAUGAAUAGUUUUAGUCUUGUUAAGUAUGUUCGUGAUUGAGUCUUGUGUAGCACUGUUUGAGACAUCCUAUUUGAACGGCUGAACUUAAGUUUUACUUGAGGACAAGCAAAAGUUUAAGUUGGAGGUGUUGAUGAGUCCUCAAAUUAGACUCAUUUAGGGCCUUAUUUUAAUGGAAUUAGUGUCCUCAGUUGCCCCUUUUAUCCCAAUAUCUGAUAAAAACUCUUAAGUUCCAAGUAUUUGAAGAUUUAAGGAAAGCAUAGACACUAUGUCCCAAAAAGGAACAAAAAGGUGGAAAAGAGUGAAGAAAUGGAAGCUUGAGCAUCGCCAAUUCCACUUGGCGAGUCGCCGAAGGGACUUACUUCGUCUUUUGUUCCAGUGCGCUAAGACCUGAAGGAAGAGGAUCAAAUCGACGGUGUAAAGGAGCAGUCGGCGUGUCACCGAACAGUUCCGCGAAGCAGUACCAUACCGCCCAAUGGUCCAGGACGCGAAGAUUUUGUAGGCAAAAAUAAAAGGCGAUGAACCAGAAGAAGGGCAACUCGCCGAGUUGAAGGGCAACUCGCCGAGUUGAUCGGCGACUCGCCGAGUUGAUCGGCCCACUAACCUCGCCGAACGAUCUGCUACAGCACUAGUUUCUGAAAACUAUAAAUACUAGCUUUAUAUCAAUUUUAAUUGUCAUUCAUUACUAGACAUAAUUUAUUUUAAGUUUGUAACUCUUAUAUUUUCUCUAAAGUUUGAGAGGAUUUUGAAAAGAAGAAGAAGAACAAAAAGAGUUUCAUCUCCUCAAAUUGGAAGUGGGUCUCCUGAUUUCUUGCUUCUUUUCCUAAAUUGAGACUUAAAUCUUCAUACCCAAUUGAUUUCAACAUCAUUGAAGGUAUAAUUUUUUAUUGCUUGAUGUGUGGCUAAACCCCCCCCCCCAUUCUUGGGGUGUGAUUUAGCAAAUAUGGGUUAAGAUUGUUGUUGGGUCUUGUUUGUUGAUAGAUUAAAUGUAGUUUAAUGGUGAUUUCACCUAGUAGUUGUGGUUGAAUUUAAUGGGUUUGUAGUUGCAAAUACAAGUCCACCCAUGUGUUUUCGGCUUGCGAGAGAGAGAGAGAGAGAGGUCGUGAAACCAAGACUACUACACUAAUGGCCUAAGGAGUGGGUCGACAUGAUGUUUAGCCCGAGAGGAUGAGCCCUAGUCCCAUAUCCUAACACUCAGCUCGAGAGAGUGAGUGGGGUAAGGCGUGGGCUGGGGGUGUCUGAUAGGCACCUAUUUGAAACUGGGUAAGUUGCUCGAAAGAGAACUUAUUUCCAUUUAAAGCUUAGCCUUGUCACUAUUACUCUAUAAAUUUUCUAUCGAAAGCUUGUACCCAAUAAUGUAGAUUAAUUCGUAUUUCGGUCACACCCCAAGAAUCUCCUCUCAUACUUGAUUUUCCUUACAUUUUACUGUUUUUGUUUUAUUUUGUGAAAAAACCCCAAAGGAUAUUUGACACUUUUGUGUCCCCAUUGAUUUAUGAUGUUUUUACUCGUUAGUGUCUUUAGCUACGACUAAUUAAAACUAAAUUCUAAUUAGCUACUAAUUCUCAAAACCGCUCUCUUGGGACACGACCCCAACCCUCGGUUGGGUUACUAUAUUAUCGACGAUCGUAGAAACUCGAACCGUAAUUAGUAACAUUGGUCAUGAUAAGCAUCAGCUUAGCAGAUUAUGACUUUUCUGAAGGGAUUGGUCGGCCCAGGAGUCCUUCCCACAGUGGAAGCUGCUCAACCCCCAGCCAAUCCCCCCAUUGUUGUUACUGUUCCCAAGGUGGGUGGAGCAUUAGGCACUGAUGCCUUUUUUCGUUCCCUAUUGGGUCAUGUGAUGACUGGUACUGAGAACGAGAUAUUGACUAAGUUUCUGAAGCUGAAGUCGUCUGUGUUCCAUGGUUCUGAGAGUGAAGACGCCUAUGAGUUCAUUAUAGAUUGUUAUGAGAGGCUUCACAAGUUAGGUAUUGUACACCAACAUGGUGUAGAGUUUGUGACCUUCCAGCUUCAAGGUGAGGCUAAGCAGUGGUGGAGGGCCUACGUGGAAUGCAGAUUUCCAAUCUUGCCCCCACUCACUUGGACGUAGUUCCAUGCUUUGUUUCUAGAAAAGUAUGUGUCUCGGACUUUGAGGGAUCGCAAGAAGGAUGAGUUCAUGGUUUUGGAAUAGGAUGGUAUGACUGUAGGUGCUUACGAGGCUAAGUUCCAAUUCUUGUCCAGAUAUUCUACACAGUUGGUAACUACUGAGAAUGAGAGGAUUCGUCUAUUCGUCAGGGGAUUGAACCCUAAAUUAUAGGUAUUGUUUGUUCACAUGACAUCUACAGGAAAAAGUUUUAAUGAGGUGACAGACUUUGUGAAGAAAGUGGAAGGAGUUCGACGUGAUGGAUAGGUCAAGGCUUUGGCUAAGAAGCCUAAGAGCACAUGUAACUUCCAUGGUUCCUACUCCAGAGGUUUAGGCAAAACGACACUUGCACCCCGGCCAAUUUAGUCUGUCAUGGCCGCUUCUAUUGGUGGUUACUCGGGAAUUCCACAGUAGAAUUUUAUUCAAGAUAACCAGGAAGUGGCACCUUCGAUGGGCAGUAUACCAUCUUUUGACCGCAAUUGUUACAAUUGUGGAGAGCCUGGGCUUAUGAGGAGAGAUUGUCCCCAUCCGCACAUGUUUGACCCCGCGCAACAGCAUACUAGAGCAGUGGUACCCGUAGACAACAACAAUAAUGGCAGAGGACGUCCACAAGGUGGGCGAGGAGGGAAUCAGUGAGGCCGUGGAGGCUGGGGAAAUGGUAAUGCAAGCAGAGACGUUGUGCAUCCAGGCAAGGAGGUUGUUCGUCAAGAUGACACGACUCAGUGUUAUGCCUUUCCGGGCAAGACUGAGGCGGAGACAUCUGAUGCGGUGAUCACAAGUACUAUUCUUGUCUGUGACCGGAUGGCUACUAUUUUGUUUGAUCUGUGUUCUAUUUAUUCAUAUGUGUCAGUUUAGUUUGCCCUAAUAUUUUAUGUGAUUUGUGAUGUGCUUGAUGCCCCCAUCCAUGUUUCUACCCCAGUUGGAGAGUCUGUCAUAGUCACCCAUGUAUAUUGUGUUCUAGUUAUGGGUUAUCAGACUUGGGCUGAUUUGGUUAUUCUGGAUAUGACUGACUUUGAUAUAAUCUUAGGCAUGACUUGGUUGUCCCCCUAUUAUGUUGUGCUUAAUUGUAAUACUAAGUCUGUGACUAUAGAGAUCCCGGGUAGGGAAAAGGUAGAGUGGAAAAGGGUGUACAAGCCUAAGCCAGCUAAGGUCACAUCUUUCAUUCGGUCUAGGAAACUGGUGGGGCAGGGGUGUUUGGCAUAUUUGGCUCAUAUUUGGGAUGUUGAUACUCAGUCUCCCUCUAUUGAGUCUAUUCAUGUAGUGUCUGAAUUUAAGGAAGUGUUUCCUACCAAUUUGCCUGGUAUGCCUCCGGAUAGGGAUAUAGAUUUAUGCAUUGACUUGGAACCGGGCACUCGUCCCAUUUCCAUCAUUCCUUAUCGCAUGGCUCCGGUAGAAUAUUAAUUGUAAUACUAAGUCUGUGACUAUAGAGAUCCCGGGUAGGGAAAAGGUAGAGUGGAAAAGGGUGUACAAGCCUAAGCCAGCUAAGGUCACAUCUUUCAUUCGGUCUAGGAAACUGGUGGGGCAGGGGUGUUUGGCAUAUUUGGCUCAUAUUUGGGAUGUUGAUACUCAGUCUCCCUCUAUUGAGUCUAUUCAUGUAGUGUCUGAAUUUAAGGAAGUGUUUCCUACCAAUUUGCCUGGUAUGCCUCCGGAUAGGGAUAUAGAUUUAUGCAUUGACUUGGAACCGGGCACUCGUCCCAUUUCCAUCAUUCCUUAUCGCAUGGCUCCGGUAGAAUAGAGAGAGCUUAAGGCUCAAAUCCAGGAGCUUCUUGAUAAAGGUUUCAUCUGUCCUAGUGCGUCCUCGUGGGUGUGGAAAAGGGUGUACAAGCCUAAGCCAGCUAAGGUCACAUCUUUCAUUCGGUCUAGGAAACUGGUGGGGCAGGGGUGUUUGGCAUAUUUGGCUCAUAUUUGGGAUGUUGAUACUCAGUCUCCCUCUAUUGAGUCUAUUCAUGUAGUGUCUGAAUUUAAGGAAGUGUUUCCUACCAAUUUGCCUGGUAUGCCUCCGGAUAGGGAUAUAGAUUUAUGCAUUGACUUGGAACCGGGCACUCGUCCCAUUUCCAUCAUUCCUUAUCGCAUGGCUCCGGUAGAAUAGAGAGAGCUUAAGGCUCAAAUCCAGGAGCUUCUUGAUAAAGGUUUCAUCUGUCCUAGUGCGUCCUCGUGGGUUGCUCCUGUCUUGUUUGUUAAGAAGAAGAAUGGUAGUAUGAGGAUGUUCUAGACUAUCGAUAGUUGAAUAGGGUCAUCAUUCAAAAUAAGUAUUUGUUGCCUUGGAUAGAUGAUCUCUUUGACCAGUUGCAGGGUGCAUCAGUUUUCUCUAAAAUUGACCUAAGGUCUGGUUACCAUCAGUUAAAGAUUAGGACUGAGGAUGUACCCAAAAUGGCAUUUUGGACCCGCUAUGGGCACUAUGAUUUUUUAGUGAUGUCGUUUGGGUUGACCGAUGCACCUACAACCUUCCAUGAGUUUGUUGAAUGGUGUGUAAAAACCAUUACUGGAUUCUUUUGUUAUCGUCUUUGUUGAUGACAUUUUGGUUUAUUUGAAGAGUAAAGAAGAGCAUGCUGACAAUCUUCGUAUUGUUUAGGGUGUCCUUGGAAAACAGAAGUUGUAUGCACAAAUAUUCAAGUGUGAGUUCUGGUUGACUUCAGUUGCCUUUUUAGGGCAUGUGAUUUCAAAGGAAUGGGUAAUGGUAGAUCCCCAAAAGAUUAAAGCAGUCAAGAACUGGGUCCAACCUAGCUUUGUGACAGAAGUUAGGAGUUUCGUGGGACUCGCCAGCUACUACCGGUGGUUUGUGAAAAGCUUUACUUCUAUCACCACGCAUUUAAAAAGGCUGACCAAAAAGGAAGUGCCUUUCGAGUGGACCGACAAGUUUGAGGAGAGCUUCCAAAAGCCUAAGACCCUUCUGACCACAGCACAUAUUCUAGCACUAUCGGUGGAAGGUAAAGAUUUCAUUAUUUAUUGUGAUGCUUCACAUUCGGGUUUGGGUGAUGUGUUGAUGCAAGAUAAGAAUAUUAUAGCUUAUGCAUCACGGUAGCUGAAGGUGCACGAGAGAAAUUACCCGAGUAAUUGGUAAAAAACUCUUUAUCUAUUUUUAGAAAAUUAGAAGAUAAGAACAAAAGACCAAGAAAUGUAUGACUUGGAGUUGGCAGCGGUAGUGUUUGCUCUUAAGAUUUGGCGUCAUUAUAUUUAUGGUGUCAAGUGUGAGGUGUUUACUGAUCAUCGUAGUCUACAACAUGUUUUCACCCAAAAAAACAUGAAUCUGAGACAGCGAAAAUGGAUGGAGUUACUCAAGGAUUAUGAUGUUACCAUCAAGUAUCAUCCGGGUAAGCCUAACGUGGUGGUAGGCGCAUUAAGCUGGAAGGCGGUAAGUAUGGGUAGUCUAGCUUGUUUGGGUGUAUCCAAGCGACCUUUGGCCAAGGAGAUUUAAACACUGGAGUCUAAGUUCAUGCAGCUGGGCAACUCAGAGAAAGGUAGGGUGUUAGCCAGCAUUAAGAUUAGACCCACAUUCAUUGACGAGAUCAAGGCCAAACAGUUUGAGGAUGAGAAUUUGAAUGAGCUCAAAAAGAAGACAGUGUUUGUCAAGGCACAAGAUGCGACUCUUGAUGCGGGUGGUGUGCUUAGUUUUAAGGGAAGAAUUUGUGUUCCCCGAGUGGAUGACUUGAUUCAAAAGAUGUUGACAGAAUCCCAUGGUUUGUGAUAUUCCAUUCAUCUGGGUGUGACCAAGAUGUAUGGAGACUUGAAACAACUUUAUUGGUGGUCUGGCUUGAAGAAAGACAUAGCUGAGUUUGUGGCUAAGUGCCAAAACUGUCAGCAGGUAAAGUAUGAGCACCAAAGGCCUGCAGGUUUACUUCAGCGAAUGCCAAUUCCAGAAUGGAAGUGGGAAAGGAUAGCUAUGGAUUUCGUGGUUGGUCUUCCCAAGACCUUGGGAAAGUUUGACUCCAUUUGUUUGGUGGUUGAGAGUCUGACUAAGUUAUCCCAUUUCAUUCCAGUUAGAGUAGACUAUAAUGCUCAGCAAUUGGCUAAGGUUUAUGUGAAGGAGAUAGUGAGGUUGCAUGUGGUGGCUCUUUCCAUCAUCUCGGACUGUGGUACGCAGUUCACUUCCAAGUUUUGGGGAAAAUUGCAUAAGGAGUUGGGCACUCAACUCACUUUUAGCAAAGCCUUCCAUCCACAGAUGGAUGCGCAGUUAGAGAGAACUAUUCAAGUGUUAGAGGACAUAUUGAGGGCAUGUGUGAUUGACUUUGGAAGGCAUUGGGAUAAGUUCCUACCUUUGUGUGAGUUAUCCUAUAAUAAAAGUUACUAGUCCAGCAUAGACAUGACACCGUUCGAGUCACUUUAUGAGAGGAGAUGUAGAUCACCUAUAGGGUGGUUUGAGGAUGGAGAUGUGAAACCUUUGGGGGUUUAUUCAGUGAAAGAUGCUCAGGAUAAGGUGAGAAGCAUUCAAGCUAAGCUUCUAACGGCCCACAGUCGAUAGAAAAAGUAUGCAGACCGUAAGGUAAGGGACAUUACAUUUCAGACUGGUGAGGAAGUUCUUCUAAAGGUGUCACCCAUAAAGGGGGUGAUGAGAUUUGUCAAGAAGGUCAAGCUUAGUCCUCUAUACAUCGGUCCAUUUGAGAUUCUUGAUUGUGUUGGGCCAGUGGCUUAUAGGUUGGCUUUACCGCCAAGACUAUUAAUGUAACGACCCUAAAAUGAAAUAGCAAGAACUAGAGACUCACAUGUGUAUUUGAAGUUGGUAACUUGAUUAAAUGAUGAGAAAUAGCUUUUGAAGUUUAGUUUAAAGUGUUUUGAGGUCAAACGUCAAGAAACGACUAUAACGUCCGGAAACUAGUCAUUUGAGCUAGUGUGUUCUAGGUCCUUGUCGUUGAAUUUUGGUGUGUUGUAUGAGGGUGAAAACUUGUAUAAAUUACUCUCACACUUAGAACAACAUGUUUAGGGGUUAAAAAUCCGGGUAAUACUCCCCAAGUACCACCCAAGGGGUCCUUCAGGAGGACCCCAACACUGCCCAAAAAGCUGUCAAAACAGCUUGACCUACGGUUGCAAUCCACACCCCUUAGACCAAUCCACACACCGUAGGUCAUGGGCAUGGGUCAAGACUUAGUCUAGGGAAGCUUGGCCUUCAUUUUUGAGACUCAUUCCCAAUCAACGGAAGCACAGUACGGAAAAUAGACCCAUCCACGCUCCGUGGAUGGGCAACCGUAGGUGCUGCCAGUUUUGGAAGUUUUUGUUUUAAGUUAGGGGUCUUAGUUUUGGUUAGUCAUUUAAUUAAUGGUUAGGAGGGGCGAUUAUAUACCUAAUUAACUUCCUAAAUACACUAUUUUAAGUCAUUAAAACAUUAGAACCCAAGACCCCCAAAUCAAAUCUCAACUUCUUUUCCCUCUCAAAAAGUUCUCUCUAGAAACUCCAUUGGAGGUCAAGGUCAAGAUCAAGCUAGGUUUAGGAUUUCAAGGUGUUUAUUCUUAAAUUUCGUGGGAUUCAUCAAGGCUAAGGUAUGGUGAUCCUUCAUCUAGGGUUAGCUUUCACCCUAGAGUCAAUUUCAAAGAUGUUUACAAGGUUUCAAAGUUUAUGAAAAGACCCAAUUUUCACUCAAACUCAUGGGUUCUUGCAUUAAAAAAAUUCAAGUGAUAAACUAUGAUUAUAUUGAUGUUUAAUUGAUGAUUUUAAGAUGAAAACUCUAAGAACCCAUGAUUACCCUAAAUUCCUAAAUUUGACCUUAUGAAUUGGGUUUAUUGAUUAUGAAUGAAUGAUGAUGGAUUUAUGUGUAGAUUGAUUUAUAUUAUUGAUUUGUAUCAUUACCUAUAUCUAAUUAUGGAUAAUUGUUGGCGAAUUUAGGAAUUGUGAUCAUAGCCUUGAAAGGGCAAUUUACGACCUAGUUUGAUGUUGAUUAUAGAAUUGUGGUUCAAUUGUUGAUCCACUUGAAAGGGAGGAGGUGUUUACUUACUUGUAUAUUGAUCCACUUGAAAGGUGGAGGUGUUUAUCUAUUAUGCAUGUUGUGAUCAUGGCAAUGAAGGCAAAGUGUGGGUAAUUGAGGUGUUGUCGUAAUGUUGAUUAUAUGAAUGUGAUGUAAAGCAUGUGUGUGAUCUAAUUGAAUAAAAGAUGAUCUUGUUUAGGAGUUACUAGUGUUAGGAUUGAAUGUUAUCUCUCUAUUGACACUUGUGAAUGAUGGUGGUUAUGUGAAAGGUUAUUCUCACAUGUAAACACACACACAUGAAUGAAUGAAUGAAGGUUAAUGUUAAUGAAUGUGAAGUACUAUUUGAAAGGCUAUUCUCAUAUUGUACUUUAAUGAAUGAAAUGGGGUUCUUAGGUGAAAGGAUAUUUUCAUCUUCGAAUCUAUGAGCUUUCCAAUGAAGAAUGUUGGGUUGGUAUGGAUGCUCAUCCGGGAGUAGAGGCGGAGUAUCUAGUAACAAUCUCUUAUCCCUUAAUUAAUUAAUGUAAUAAAUGUCAAAUACUAUGUGGGGAAUAAUGCUAAGCACCAAGAGGAUAUGAAAUAGGGUGGAUACUCAUCCGAGAGUUGAGGCGGGGUAUCUAGUAUCAACCUCUUGAGAUGGAGGCCCAUCCAUGAGUUGAGGCGGGGUAUUUAGAAGCAAUCUCCCUAUCCCAUAACUAUGUUCCCACAUAGGUCUAGCUAGUGGUAUCCACUUGAGCUAAAAUGAAUGGUCCUACCUUAGGCAAGUAGGAAUCCCUUAUCCGGUGAGGGUGAUACCGGGAGUCCAUGAGUUUCUCACAUGGUCUUUGUCGGUUAAGGAUUACCCACACAAACUAAUGAACUAUGGUUUUCUAAAGAUAUACUACUUAGGGUAGGUGGUGGAAUGGGACGCCAUCUAUGCAUUGCACGAGUAGGCAUUUGAGGGAAGUCAUGGUGUGUCCUUAUAAUGUGAAUGAAUGAAUGGGAUCUCAUAAUCAUGUAAAUGAAAGUGUUGGUCUUAUGUCUAAUAAAUGAAGGUGUUCUAAAUGAAGUAAUGAAUGGAGACUUGAAUGUUUAUAUGUGUAAUGAAAGAAUGCAUGUUAUACUUGGAUUGUAUAUAUGUGAGUUACUUCCUUUUUAUGAUUUGUUGAGAAUGAAUGUGCCUAGUCUAGGGUGACUUUAAAGGAACACUUAGUGUGAGUAGUAUUAUGGGAUGCUACUUACACAUGGCACAAGUGUGACUAAGAUUUAUCUUAGGUGAUGGUUCUUAGUCGAUGUUAAUGUCUUAUGUAAUGCUUAUAUCUCUUAUGUGUAACUAAUUGUGAAGUAAUGGAAAGGUUGUGUAUGAAGUUCACUUUUGGGGACUUUAAGGUAGUGCCUUGGUGUGGGUGGUGGUAUGGGACGCUACCCAUACAUUGCACAAGGUAUAGCCUAAGGGUUACUUGAAGCGAUGGUUCAAGGUAAAGGUAAAGGGUUAUAUGUGAUUUUGACUAAAUGUGAAAUAUGUGACUUUGUAUGUUAGUUGUGACUUUUACCAUGCCUAUUGUAUCAAUGUUCAUGAAGAUUUACUAAAAUGGCAUAAAAGCAUGACUUUCAACUAAAUGUCCCUUUAUAGCAUUUUUUUGCAUCGUCAUCAUACUUAAUACUUAAUUGUGCUAACCCAUUCUUCUUCUAUGUUUGUGGUAACUAGGUGGAUCUCCCUUUAUUGAAGUGCUUGGAUUACUAUUCCUCCAAGUCUUGGUAUGUCCUCAAUGAUUCGAGGACAAUGUUUAGAAGUUUCUUUUAGUUCAUGUAAUAGACUUGUAGUAUUCUCAUUGAUUGUGAAGGGUCGUGUCCCUAUAUUGUUGCAAGUACUGUGUCUAAGAUGGUCAUGUGAGACUUAGUAUUUCCGCUUGCGUAUUAUGUUUUUAAAUAAUGAUGACUUUUGAGUCUUAUGGUUUUAAUAAAAAGUUUUAAUUUCGCACUAUUUUAUUAUUUAUGCAAUGAAUGAUCUAUGAGGCUUGUAUUAGACCUCUUCGAGGUCGCGUACUCCGUGUUACGACUAGGGGGAGCUCUCGGGUCGUGAUAAACAUGGUAUCAGAGCAUAAGAUUUCUGAAAUGGUUUUAGGAUCGAUGUAUCACAAGCCACGUCUAGUAGAGUCUUGUUCAUCGGUGAGUCGCGACAUAUCUAUGAGAGAGAGGCUAUAGGACGGUAGAAAGUUACACUUCUUUCAUUAUUCUUGAAGUCGUGCCUUAGAGAUUAGUUCUAUGUGUCCUUUUCCUAAUCCUUCUCUUGUUUUUAUAGGAAUAUGAAUACAAGGAGGGCUAAUGCAAGGAGAGGACAAGAGGAGAAUGUGAAUGAGGAGGUUCCCCCUCAAGACCCACAAGCUCCUAAUGAGGAAGGGGCCAUGUCUAAUGUGGAGAUAUAAGCAGCCUUCCAAACUUUGACCCAAUUCAUGACGGUUCAAGCUCAAGCCGUCACCACUCAAGCUCAAGCCAUAACGGCCCAAGUUAACCGAGAAGUUGGACCCCGGAUAAACCCCAAUGUAAGUACACCCUCUUCUAGGAUUAGGGAUUUCACAAGGAUGAAUUCCCCUACAUUUUAUGACUCUAAAGUGGAUGAGAACCCUCAAGGUUUCAUAGAUGAAGUGUUUAAAGUGGUAGAUGCCAUGGGAGUAACUUCAUGGGAAAAGGUGAAACUAGCCGCCUACCAAUUGAAAGAUGUGGCUCAAGUGUUGUUUGAGCAAUGGAGAGAUGAGAGACUUGUAAGAGCAGACCCGGUAUAUUGGGGAGUGUUUAAGACGGCCUUUCUUGAUAGGUUUUUCCCCUUAGAGUUGAGGGAACAAAAGUUGGUGGAAUUCAUGAACCUCCAUCAAGGGAGUAUGAGUGUGAAGGAGUACUCUCUCAAGUUCACCCAACUAUCUAAGUAUGUCCCAACCUUGGUAGCAAAAUCUAGGGCUAGAAUGAAUAAGUUUGUAAUGGGGGUGUCCGGUUUGGUUGAAAAAGAAUGUCGUACGGCAAUGCUCCAUCAUGAUAUGGAUAUCUCAAGGCUCAUGAUAUAUGCUCAAAAAAUUGAGGAGACAAAACUUAGAAAAAUCAAUAGGGAUGCAAAGAAACCUAGGUCGGAUGAGCAAAGUCAACCUAGGUCCAAAAGGAGGUACUACAACCAAGAUUCUCCUAUGGUCAACAAUGAAAGGGUGUCUAACCCUAAACCUCAAAGAGGGAGUGGAGGUGGUUCUUCAAUUUAAAGGUCUAGAUGUGCUAAGUGUGGGAAGCAACAUUUGGGUAAGUGUCUUGCCGGCACGGAUGGGUCUUUGGAUGUGGAAAGAAGGGGCAUAAGAUGAGAGAUUGCCCAACACUCUUGGCCGAAGGAGGGAGGCUAAACAAGCUUCUCUUGAUGGUCCAGAUCCUAAUGUUCCAAAAUGGAACCGUUUCUAUACUCUUCAAGCUAACAAAGACAAAGGAGCUAAUCUGAAUGAAGGUACCGGUAAGUGGUAAUUCCAUAUAGUGUUGUUUUGUUGAGAUUCUUAUGCUGUUUUCCAUGAUUUGCCUUAGAUGGGGUUUCCCUUAAGUAGGGGAUAGUAUGUUGGGUAGUAAGGUGGUGGUGAGUGUUGAUAUCCUUAUCCCUUUCCUUAUAUUCCUAUUCAAGCUUUAGAUCAAGGGUUCCUUAUAGCUUGUUUCAAGUUUUGGAGUCAUGUGUGAUAUGAGUUUUCCAUUUUCUCCUUAUGUUAUGCAUGUUGUAGUUGAAUUCUUGUUAAAUCAGAAAAUGAGUUUUCAUGGUUUUAUGUUCCUCAUGUUAUUGUGCAUUUGAUAUGAAUUGUCUAUAUACUUCAUGAGGAGAAAUGUUGAGCAUGCUUAAUGUGUUUUUAUGAAAGAAGUUGCUUAAUUGUGCUUUUAAUGAGUAAUUGCAUAAUGUGCCUAUUGAUGUUGUAAUGAGCAUAAUUUGAGUUGGAGAAGGAAGUUCCUCCAAUGAAAUGAGUAAUGAUGAAGUUUUGAUGCAUAAUGAGUUUGUAGAUGUAGUUCCUACCUUUCUUGUUGUGUUUGAGUCUAUUGAUGUGGAGUUGAUGUUUCCGCCUAUGUUUAUGUUUUAUGUUGCAUGCAUGAUUGUGGGCUGCUAGUCUUGAGUCGUUACCCCUUUAUGUGUUUAAAGUGUCAUUCGAGAGCGAAUGUUCCCAAGUGGGGGAUAAUGUAAUGACACUAAAAUGAAAUAGGAAGAACUAGAGCCUCACAUGUGUAUUUGAAGUUGGUAACUUGAUUAAAUGAUGAGAAAUGGCUUUUGAAGUUUAGUUUAAAGUGUUUUGAGGUCAAACGUCAAGAAACGACUAUAACGUCCUGAAACUAGUCAUUUCAGCUAGUGUGUUCUAGGGUCUUGUCGUUGAAGUUUGGUGUGUUUUAUGAGGGUGAAAACUUGUAAAAAUGACUCUCACACUUAUAACAGCAUGUUUAGAUGCUAAACGUCCAGGUACGACUCCAAAAGGACUACCCAAGGGGUCCUUGAGGAGGACCCCAACACUGCCCAAAAAGCUGUCAAAACAGCUUGACCUACAGUUGCAAUCCACGCCCCUUAGACCAAUCCACGCCCUGUAGGUCGAGGGUGUGGGUCAAGACUUAGUCUAGGGAAGCUUGGACUUCAUUUUUUAUCCUCAUUCCCAAUCCACGGAAGCACAGUAUGGCCAGUAGACCCAUCCACGCUCCGUGGAUGGGCAACCAUAGAUGCUGCCAGUUUUUGAAGUUUUUGUUUUAAGUUAGGGGUCUUAGUUUUGGUUAGUCAUUUAAUUAUUGGUUAGGAGGGGAGAUUAGAUACCUAAUUAACUUCCUAUAUAAACUAUUUUAAAUCAUUAAAACACUUCAUUAACUCAUUAGAACCCAAGACCCCCAAAUCAAAUCUCAACUUCUUCUCCCUCUCAAAAAGUUCUCUCUAGAAACUCCAUUGGAGGUCAAGGUCAAGAUCAAGCUAGGGUUGAGGAUUUCAAGGUGUUUAUUCUUCAAUUUAGUGGGAUUCAUCAAGACUAAGGUAUGGUUAUCCUUCAUCUAGGGUUACCUUUCACCCUAGAGUCAAUUUCAAAGAUGUUUUCAAGGUUUCAAAGUUUAUGAAAAACCCCAAUUUUCACUCAAACUCAGGGGUUCUUGCAUCAAACGAUUUGAAGUGAUAAACUAUGAUUAUAUUGAUGUUUAGUUGAUGAUUUUAAGAUGAAAAACUCUAUGAACCCAUGAUUACCCUAAAUUCCUAAAUUUGACCUUAUGAAUUAGGUUUAUUGAUUAUGAAUGAAUGAUGAUGGAUUUAUGUGUAGAUUGAUUUAGAUUAUUGAUUUGUAUCAUUACCUAUAUCUAAUUGUAGAGAAUUAUUAGUGAAUUGAGGAAUUGUGAUCAUAGCCUUGAAAGGGCAAUUUAUGACCUAGUUUCAUGUUGAUUAUAGAAUUGUGCUUCGAUUGUUGAUCCACUUGAAAGGGUGGAGGUGUUUACUUACUUGUAUAUUGAUCCACUUGAAAGGUGGAGGUGUUUAUAUACUAUGCAUGUUGUGAUCAUGGCCUUGAAGGCAAAGUGUGGGUAAUUGAGGUGUUGUCAUAAUGUUGAUUAUAUGAAUGUGAUGUAAAGCAUAUGUGUGAUCUAAUUGAAUGAAAGAUGAUCUUGUUUAGGAGUUACUUGUGUUAGUAUUGAAUGUUAUCUCUCUAUUAACACUUGUGAAUGGAGGUGGUUAUGUGAAAGGCUAUUAUCACAUGUAGACACACACACAUGAAUGAAUGAAUAGAUGAAGGUUAAUGUUAAUGAAUGUGAAGUACUAUUUGAAAGGCUAUUCUCAUAUUGUACUUUAAUGAAUGAAAUGGGGUUCUUAGGUGAAAGGAUAUUUUCAUCUUCGAAUCUAUGAGCUUUCCAAUGAAGAAUGUUGGGUUGGUAUGGAUGCUCAUCCGGGAGUAGAGGCGGAGUAUCUAGUAACAAUCUCUUAUCCCUUAAUUAAUUAAUGUAAUAAAUGUCAAAUACUAUGUGGGGAAUAAUGCUAAGCACCAAGAGGAUAUGAAAUAGGGUGGAUACUCAUCCGAGAGUUGAGGCGGGGUAUCUAGUAUCAACCUCUUGAGAUGGAGGCCCAUCCAUGAGUUGAGGCGGGGUAUUUAGAAGCAAUCUCCCUAUCCCAUAACUAUGUUCCCACAUAGGUCUAGCUAGUGGUAUCCACUUGAGCUAAAAUGAAUGGUCCUACCUUAGGCAAGUAGGAAUCCCUUAUCCGGUGAGGGUGAUACCGGGAGUCCAUGAGUUUCUCACAUGGUCUUUGUCGGUUAAGGAUUACCCACACAAACUAAUGAACUAUGGUUUUCUAAGGAUAUACUACUUAGGGUAGGUGGUGGAAUGGGACGCCAUCUAUGCAUUGAACAAGUAGGCAUUUGAGGGAAGUCAUGGUGUGUCCUUAUAAUGUGAAUGAAUGAAUGGGAUCUCAUAAUCAUGUUAAUGAAAGUGUUGGUCUUAUGUCUAAUAAAUGAAGGUGUUCUAAAUGAAGUAAUGAAUGGUGACUUGAAUGUUUAUAUGUGUAAUGAAAUAAUGCAUGUUAUACUUGGAUUGUAUAUAUGUGAGUUACUUCCUUGUUAUGAUUUGUUGAGAAUGAAUGUGCCUAGUCUAGGGUGAAUUCAAAGGAACACUUAGUGUGAGUAGUAUUAUGGGAUGCUACUUACACAUGGCACAAGUGUGACUUAGAGUUAUAUUAGGUGAUGGCUCUUAGUCGAUGUUAAUGUCUUAUAUAAUUCUAAUAUCUCUUAUGUAUGACUAAUUGUGAAGUAAUGGAAAGUUUGUGUAUGUAGUUCGCUUUUGGUGACCUUAAGGUGGUGCCUUAAUGUGGGUGGUGGUAUGGGACGCUACCCAUACAUGGCACAAGGUAUAGCCUAAGGGUUACUUGAAGUGAUGGUUCAAGGUAAAGGUAAAGGGUUAUAUGUGAUUUUGACUAAAUGUGAAAUAUGUGACUUUGUAUGUUAGUUGUGACUUAUACCAUGCCUAUUGUAUCAAUGUUCAUGAAGAUUUACAAAAAUGGCAAAAAAGCAUGACUUUCAACUAAAUGUCCCUUUAUAGCAUGUUUUUGCAUGGUCAUCAUACUUAGUACUUAAUUGUGCUAACCCAUUCUUCUUCUAUGUUUUACUACAAGUGUAGGUUGUGGUAACUAGGUGGAUCUCCCUUUAUUGAAGUGCUUGGAUUACUAUUCCUCCAAGUCUUGGUAUGUCCUCAAGGAUUCGAGGACAAUGUUUAGAAGUUUCUUUUAGUUCAUGUAAUAGACUUGUAGUAUUCUCUUCGAUUGUAAAGGACCGUGUCCCUAUAUUGUUUCAAGUACUGUGUCUAAGAUGGUCAUGUGAGACUUAGUAUUUCCGUUUGCGUAUUAUGUUUUUAAAUAAUGAUGACUUUAGAGUCUUAUGGUUUUAAUAAAAAGUUUUAAUUUUGCACUAUUUCAUUAUCUAUGCAAUGAAUGAUCUAUGAGGCUUGUAUUAGACCUCUUCGAGGUCGCGUACUCCGUAUUACGACAAGGGGGUGCUCUCGGGUCGUGACAAUUCAGAGUCCAUCCAGUGUUCCAUGUGUCCAUGUUUAAGAAGUAUCAUAGGGACGAAGAUUACAUCAUAAAAUGGGACGCAGUUCUGUUAGACAAAGACCUUCAGAAUGAGGAGAAACUGGUUAUAAUUCUUUAUCGCGAUAUCUAGAAGCUGAGGAUCAAGGAUAUUAAAUCCAUGAAAGUUCAAUAGAAGCAUCGUCCGAUUGAGGAAGAUACUUGGGAAACCGAGAAGUACAUGUGAGACAAGUAUCCCCAAUUAUUCGACAAUUUAGGUACUACUCUACUCUUGCCUUAGCCCUUUUCUCCUAGUUUGUCACUUGGGGAUGGGUGAUGGAUAAAUUGGUAUAUAUUGUAAUAACUUGUUCCCGUCGUUAUAAAAAAAGCCAAUGGGGAAGGAAUUUGGGCCAGAAAACUUCUAAGUAGUAACUAGAAAAUUUCUAGCCUAGGCUAGACUUGGAUGAAAUCUGAGUCAGGUGAGGUCUAAGGAGAUAUGGUAAUGAAUGGGGGAUUUAAUUAUGAAGUUGAUAACAUGAGUGGAUAGCCAAGACAUUAAAGAACAUGUACGGCUUUAUGAAAUUGAAUUCAGGCGAGUAGAACUCCCGAAACUGAUCUUGGCGUGAAGGGGUAGUUUUAGAACGUCCAAGUUUGAAGGUGUGUUGUGAAAUGGGAGCUUGGAACUCAAAUUCCGAGCUUCUGUUUACAUGCAAGCCGCCGGGGUGUGAUUAAUUCUGCCAUAGUGGCACCGUUGUGGCGGGAUGAAUCAUGGCGGGCCAAUCGCGAGUUAAGUCGAGGAAAAACUCCAAAAUUGUUAUUUUCUGCAAAACUUUGUUCUUGAGAGCUAGGAGACAAACUAGAGCAGUUAUUGACAGUUUUCCAUGAUUUCUAGCGCUAAAGUAAGAUAAUUACUCCCCUAAUCCAUAUUUUGAUUUGUAGAACUUAGAAUCUUGGGUAAUUAUUUUGGGGUGGGGGGGUUGGCCUUAAGUUAAUGGGGGAAAAGCCCUAAUUGAACAUUAGGAUCUUGGGUUGAUGACUUAAGUUAUAAUCCGGGUAAAUUAGGCCUUAUUUAUUGAUCCUUGCAUUAUUUAACUAGUUUAGACCAAGAACAAGCUGAAAAAAUCCGGAAAGGGAAGGGUCAAGUGUCUUAGCAGUAUUGAGGCUUGGUUUCGAGGUAGGUGAUGGUUCGAUUUCCUAUUUGUGUGAUAUAUUCUGGUUAAUUGCUUCAUUGUAUGCAUACAUGUAUGUAAAUAGAGAACUAUGAAUCGAAUCUAAUGAAAUGAUUAUGCGUGAACAAUUACAUGCCAUGAACCUAUUACUUGAUUGUAUGACUAUGAUCACUAUUCAUUAUAGGUGUGAUUGUGACUGUGGUUAUGCUGAAUUGAUCGGGUGUCAUGUUCCGACACAUAUAUUGGAUUGGGUGUCACAUUCUGACACAUUUAUUAGACCGGGUGUCACGUUCCGACACAUAUAUUAGACCUGGUGUCACGUUCCGACAUAUGUUUAUUGGAUCGGGUGUCACGUUCUGACACACUAAAUGUUUGGGUGUGGGUUCCAUGAGACGACCACUUGUGAUUAUUGUGUUCAUAUCUAAUUGUCAUUGAUAUUGAGAAAUUAUAUGUUGCUCCUAAAAUGAUGACUGAAUGGUGUAUUUGGUAUAUGUGUGUUUACUGUGUUGUAAUUGCUUGUGUAUAUUGUGACUGCUGGAGUAGCCACGUGAUUCUACCAGUACACUGUGGUUUGUGUAUUGAUACUUUACUUGUUCUUUCUUUGUUGAGUACGUGGCAUCUUCAGGCGGCUACAGACAGACCUCAGUUAGGAGAUCACUGAUCGAGAUCGGAUUCAAGGGUGAGCCAGCUCUCUCAGGCUGCCAUGGAUCCCUUAUUAGUUUAGUCCAAUCUUUUCAGACUUAGACUAUUUAUUCAUUCAGACUUUUGGUUUAUGUUUAAUUUUCGGGGUUGCACCCCCUUAUCUUAGACUUGUUGGUUAACAGAGUUUUGGUACAAUGACUUUCAGUUCUAGGGGUUGAAUUUUCGCGUUAGUUGUUUGUUAGACCUUCGGAGUUUAUGGGAACUCCGUAUUUAUUUGGUCAUUUAAACCUGCUUCCGUAUUUUUAAAUGUUUUAGUCUCUUGAAAAUUGCUUAGACGGGUCGUGUAAUAGUUCUCCCACCAGAGGGUUAGUGUGGGUGUCAAUCACGGCGGUUUGGGUCGAGACAAUAUUAAAAUAUUAAUAUUUUAUUAAAUUACAUUUUAAUUUACUAUAGGAGCAAAAUCAUAAUCUAACUUUGAAGUUAUGAGCUUCCCACUUUUAAUAAAACUAGUUCUUGAAUAUGUCUGUUGCACGUGUGUUUCAAGUUAAUCGGUAAUGUAUGUGUGUAUUGAGUAACAUAAAAUCUGAAGAACAAAGCUACAUGUUCAAAUUGAUGAUCAAUCUUCCUAUUUGACUGAACUAAUUAUUAAUCACUAAAAAAAUUAGAUAAUAGAAAUAAAAUUAUAUGAUAAAAGUAAUUAGACAGUUAAUUGUUCACUUGAAUAUGGUGUUAUAAGAAUGUGAAAAUGGUCUGCAUAAAUAUUAUUAUUAUUAUUAUUAUUAUUAUUAUUAUUAAAAAUAAAGUGACAAACAAUAACCAAAUGUAAUGAUUCAUAAAAUAGAAUAAGAAAUCUAUCUCUCUCUCUCUAUAUAUAUAUAUAUAUAAUAAAGGAGAAACAUAGACAAGGUGAUAUGACACCUCUCUAUGAUCUUCAUUCAUUUUUUUUUCCUUUUUUGAUCAUUUUUUCUUAUUUAAAUUAAUUAUUUUAUUAUAAAAAUAAUUUACUUAAUUUAUUACAAAUACAUAUUUUAUUAAUGGAGGUACAUUUACAACAAAAACUUUUCACAUGCCUAAAAACCAAUUUAUUUUCUAUCUCUUUUCAAAAAAAAAAUUACUUCACUAUUUUCAUUAGUUAAUCAAUUGUUUAGUAAUUAAAAUAAUAUUGCAUCUAGUUAUAUUUCAUGAGUUACAAAAAAAAACCUUUGUCUUUUUGCAUUUUCCACUUAAAUAACAUGUCUCCUCAACUUCCUUCUACCUAAGUUAUUAUGACUUAGCCCAUCUAUAAAUAACAAUUAUCUUUAGCUAUGAUGGAUGUUUAUUUUCAUUUUCAUCUCCUCCGCCUCCUCCUUCUUUAGUAUAUUAUAUUAUACUAUGUUUAUAUAUAUAUCAACAAAUAAUACAUUCAAUUAAGAUCACAAAUGUCAUGUGGUGAUAUAUUUCUUUUUUUCAAUUAGUAAAUAUUAAACAACUCACAUUUCAAAUAUUGUAUUGAUUUGUAUUGGAUUUAUUUAGCAACAAACAAUUCUCUCUAAAUAAUAAGAUUUGUAAGCUUUAUUUAAAUAAAUUUACUACUCCCUCCGUCCCAAUUUAUGUGACACUUUUCAGAUUUCGAGAUUCAAAUGAGUCUAUCUUUGACCGUAAAUUUUUCAUAUAUAUUUUAAUUAUUUUGAAUUGUCAAUUAUUGUUACUUGUAGUACUUUUUAUGUAGUUUAUAAAUAUAUAAAUUUCAUUUCAAAAAAAUUGAAUAUUUCGUGAACAAAUUUCUGGUCAAACUUAAACCGUUUGACUCUCGAAGAACGAAAAGUGUCACAUAUAUUGAGACAGGGCGGAGCUUCAGUGUCUUGAAGGUGUCCAAUUGGACACCUUUCGCCGAAAAAUUAUACCGUACACCUAAGUAAAAUGCUGUUCAAAAUGGUUAAAUUUAAUACUUUGGACAUCCUUGACACAAUAAGUCAUAGUGACCUAGUGGCUUGAAGCUAUCUUGUGAAGCCCCACAAGCAGGUUUGAAUCCCUGCAAGUACUAAUAAUCACAAUAUAAUCAUUUUUGAAAGAGCUCCUAUUUUAUCAUUUCAUGAAUUUGACUUUUUCCGACGCCGAUGUCUGAUGCCCACAUACCACGUUCGAUGCGUGUCCCACUUGGAGCUCUUGAUUCCGUUGCGCGGAUUCAGACUCAAAGGAGUAGGUUAUUUCUUUUCAUUGAAGUUUGAAAUAAAAAUUAAACGUAAUUAUUUAAUUUAAAGUUAAUAAAUAAAUUCUAAUAUUUGUAUAACGUUGUUAAAAGCGACCAAAAGAAUACCUCAUUUGAUUCUACUUCUAUUUUUCAUUUCUCGUUAUUGUUGUCGUAACCAGAGAUUAGAAACGUAAAAAUGAUUUCAUUUUAAGUUGAAUCCCCCCCCCCACUUUUUUUUUUGUUCAUUUACUUCAUAUUAAAUUAAACACAGUUAUUAAAGCUAAAUAUCAUACGAUUUGAUUUUUAAAAUUUUGAAACAUUUAUUCAUAAGAAAAUAUUAACAUUACAGACUUCGAUUUAAAAAAAAUUCAAUGCACCAACUGUAACACCUCGAAUUCAAAAAGGGAAAUAUAUUCAUUUCGUAACCAUUCGGUGAAGUAGCUCGAGGACAAUGAAUGACUCGACGAUCCUCCGAGUAGACCCCCUCGCUUUUUUUUACUUUAUUUCUGUGACCAGUAUUUUGGAACUUUAGGCAAGCUGGAUUGAGCUCGUUGUUCCAUUCGGCGAAUCGCCAAAUCGAAUCCUCCAUCGCCUAAUUGGCUUGGUCCAGGAGCUGACUCACUGUAACUUUCGGCGAGCUAAAGGCUUAUUCGGCAAGCCGCCGAGUGGCUUUUGUCAAGCUCUAGCGUGUCUUGAUUUCAUUUUCUAAGUCGGGGGCUUUUGGGUCUUUUCCUAAAGCCUAGCCUUAUACUAUAUCGUUUUACCCUUCACCUAAAGACCUAUAUAAGUGUUUUACCCCUAAAUUUCCCCAAUUUAAAGGAUACUCUCAAAUUCCUAAAAGAAGAACAAGUUUUCCUCUCAAAAUAUUUCUCUCUCUAGAACACUUGAAAAAGGGUUCAACCUACGAUUUCAAAGCAAGUCUCCAAUUCCUCCAUUGAAGGCAAGCUUUUGACAUUGAGGUAUGAUAGUUUUCAUAUCCAUGGAUUCCUUGCAUCCAUGGAGUUCCCAAAUUCUCCUAUUUUUAAAGUUAGAAUUUCCCUAUUGAGUUAGGGUUUUCUUCAAUGUCUAUGGGUUCUCUUGAUUAUUGAUUUAAAUGAUUGAAUUAUGAUCUCUUAUGCAUGAAUUGAUGAAAUACUAUGAUUUUAUGAUGAUUCUUGUAUGAACCCAUGUAAUCUCCAUGUUAUUCCAAGUUAUGAGCAUAUAUUGUGGGUCUUGCAUUAUGAAAGAAGAGUUUUAUGAAAUCAAGAAUGAAUUGAUAGAAUUACAUGAAUUUAAGAUGAAACCCAUGCCUAACCUAUGUUUUCUAGAUGUUGAUGAUUCAAAGUGGGUUGUGAACCUUAAAAGGUGAAUUAUGGAAUUAUGCAUGUUCUUAUGAAGUUUAUGUAAAUGUUUUAAGAAAGCUCUGAGAGUGAAGUAUCCAUUAUGAUGUUGUUGUUGUGUUGUUGAAAGGAUUUCUCAUAUACACAUUAAAGCAUGAUUGUGAAAGGUUUUAUCACAUAGUAAGGAUUCUAAGAUUGAAAGGUAUUCUCACCUAAUUGAAUCAAAGAUAAAGAGCUAUCCUAAUGAAAUCUAGCUUGGAUUGGUUGUUGAAUGUUACCUUUCCAUGGAUGACUUAUGACUUAAGCUUGGAUUGGCAAGAUGAUGUGCCCUUCCAUGGAUGAUAAGAACAAGUAAGAAAUGACUAUUCCAGUGGGAUUUAUACUAAGCACCGAGAGGAUAUUGAGAUGGAAGCUCUCUCGUUAAUGGAGGUCGGAUUUCUAGAAGCAAUCUCCUUAUGUCAUACCUAUGUUCCCCCAUAGGAUGAUUGUCUAGAUAGACAUUAGCUAGUGGGUCUACUUAAGAUAGAAGUUCACGGUCCUUACCUUGACAAGUAGGACAACCCUUUUCGGUGUGGGGAGACACCGGGGGAUCAUGUUAUAGCUCACAUGGUGUCUAUGUCGGUUAAGGAUACUUCCCAUAAUAAUAAUGAACUAAGGUUACUUCAAGAAGUAUCUCAUAUGUGUUUAAAGAUUUUUAAAGAUGUUAGCUUGCAUUGACCAUGUUUUAUGACUUAUGUGUUCUAACUUCCCGGGGGAUCAUGUUAUAGCUCACAUGGUGUCUAUGUCGGUUAAGGAGAUCAUGUUAUAGCUCACAUGGUCUCUAUGUUGGUUAAGGAUACUUCCCACAAUAAUAAUGAACUAAGGUUACUUCAAGAAGUAUCUCAUAUGUGUUUAAAGAUUUUAAAGAUGUUAGCUUGCAUUGACCAUGUUUUAUGACUUAUGUGUUCUAACUUCCUUAUAUCAUGUUUUAGCUUGGUCAAUUCCAUGUCAUGAAAUGUCCUAUUUUAGCAUGAUUUAAAUGUUUUAUGCAUGGCUAUCAUACUUGGUACAUUGUUUUGUACUAACACAUAAUCUUCCCUACAUUUCCCCAAAUGUGGGGUCUGACAGUCAGGGUCCUCGGUUUUGUGGCUAGUGGUUGAUUGCGAGAUUUCUGAGCUUUGGUGAGUCCUCAUGCUUCGAGGACGAAUUCUCAUUGUUUUCAGUUUCUGCCUAACUUUCAAGUUUGGACAUGAUGUAUGAGCUAGGCCCAAUUUUAUUCUAUUGUACUAGAUGGAUAAUGAGACAAGUGUUUUAGACUUCCGCUUUACUUUUAUAGAACUUUUGGAUUCGGAAUUUUAUCCUUACCUCUUUUGUUCUAUUUCUUAUGUUAUGAAUGCUAAGUGGCUUGUAUAGGUCUCUCGGGUCCUAUACGCCAUGUUACAUCUAGGGUGUACCCCUGGGUCGUGACAUCAAUUCAUCAAAAAAAAAAAUUAUGUAAUGCUUGGACACCCUUUGUGAAAUUUCUAGCUCCGUCACUUAAUUGGGACAGUAUAAUAAUAAAACAUAAAAUCAAGAAAAUAAACAAAAUGAUUAAAAUGAUUUGAGGGAUAUUUUUUUUUCUUUACAUAGAAUAAUCCUAUGAUAUUAAAUCAUAUGUAUUACUAAUACCACCAAAUGAAAUUAGUAAUACAUCAUAUAAUACCAUAUGGGGUGUAUAACCAAUCCAUGAAUUAGUUAUACAUAAGCCCAAAAUUCUUACCAAACACAGUACUAAAUAAUAUCGUACAUAAUACAUGAACUAUUUAUCUUAAUACUCCCUACCAAACGACCCCUUAGUGUUUGAGAUACUCUGCUUGUCUUUUAUCUUUUCACCUUAUUUAUUUAGUUAAAUUGAUAAAAACUAGUGGGUUGGCUUACCUAUCAGUUGAAAACACAAGUGUCAUCACGACAUGGAAAUUUGUGUCGUGCCACUAAAUAAGGAAAAAAAUUAAUAAAUAAUAUCUAAUUGGUUUCAAAGUCCUAAUUAUUAAAGAAUAAUUAAUUUUUUAUUAUUAAAUAUUAUUUUUUAAAAUGAAAAUACUGAAAAAAUGAUUUUGUGUAAAGUAGUCUUUUAAUGAAGGAAGAAAAAGUUAAAUCAGCAUUAUGAAGGACCUUCAUAAUGUUAAUAUAACUAGUCUUUAUGAACAAGCUUUGCACGUUAUUCCUUGUCAAUGAUGAUAUAAAAAAUAUUAGGUCAAGUUAUUUGUAACCAAAUAUCGUAUGUUUUGUGAGAUAUAAAAAAAAUUAUUAGUUCUGACCAAUAAUACUUCAUUAUAAUGAUGUUCUUGGUAUUUAUGUUGGAUUUAUUGAAGAUUUAAUUAUCGAUGAAGAAGCUUGAGGAUAAUGAUUUUGUGACAAAGCAGAAUGAAAUAGGUUAAAAAGGAAUAUGUCUUUCAGACAACACAAAGUAUACUAACAGAACAAAAUCACACGAACUUUUUUAGCUUUUUAGUUUUAGUUUUGUUUUUUCAUCUGGAAAUUAAAGUUUUUCUUUUUCAUUUUUACUUUCAUGUAAAUAGUAGUUUGUUAUUUAAGGUAACUACCAAUUAGGAGAUAGUUGGGAUGUAGUUUGUGAUUUUUUCCACUUUUACUUUGUGUAAAUACAGAUAUGUUGUUUAAGCUAGCUAGUAUAUAAGGCUAGUAUGUUGUUUAAGGUUGCUAAUAUAUAGGAUAUUUGGGUAGUUUGUUAUUUUAAUUUUUUUCUAUAUAUACAUUUAUUAAACAAAAGAAUAAAUACACGAAACAUUCAGCAUAUAUAUAUAGAGAGAGAGAGAGAGAGAGAAAAUGGUCAAAAGUCUCCCCAAUCUAUAGCCGAAUUCCCAACUACACACUCAUAUUUUACGGGGAUCCUACUACCCCUUGGACUAUUUUAAAGUGGAAUUAUUUGCUCUCUAAAUGUUGAUGUGGCAAAGGAGCUGUAGUUCACUCUCUUUAGGAGAGUGAGAGAUAAAAAGAUAAUUAAAAUAUUAACUUUAUAAAUAUUUAAUUUAUUUCAUAUUAAUAUUCUAUUUUUUUAAAAAAAUUAUGUUUCCUUUUAUUCUUUUUAUCUUCUUUAUCUUUUCCCUUUAAUCUUCAUAGAUCCAUAGAUAUUGGUGGCUCACCUCAACCACCAAGUCACCGCCCUCCUCAACUAUUCAUCACUAAGUCUCAUCUUCAAAUCACAUACUUUUCAUCAUAUCUCCGCUUUUCAAAACUUUGAAAAUUUGUUGAUUGCUCAAAAUCAAAAUCAAAAUCAAAAAUGAAAGUUAGAAGAAUCGAACUUUAGACUAGUCAUUAAUGGAGUAGUUCACUAAGUAAUAGAUUCAAUUUAUGGAGAAGAAUUCAUUAAAGGAAUCAUUUGGUAACAGACCCUUUGAUGAAGAACACCCACUUAUUGAAAUUUUAGAAUAGCGGAGGAAGAAGCAAUUUUCAGUGAAAGAGUUUUUUGUUUGUCUCUAGCUUUAAAGAACGAGAUUUCCUGGUGUUUAGAAUUCCGAUAAAGGUCGAAGAUGCGGUAGUCACCAAAGAAUGAGAAAAGAAGAAGAUGAAAAUAUAAAACAAAAAAAGUAAAAUAUAAAAGAAUAAUUAUUUUUUUGUAAAAGGGCCUAAAAUAUCCUCGAAGUAUUGGAAAUGAUACAAAACUACCCUACAUCCACCUAUUGGCUCCAAAAUGCCCUUCUCAUCCACAUAUUGGCUCCAAAAUACCCUUGACAUCCACCUUUGGGUUCAAAAUUGACCACUUAUUUAACGAUUUUGAAUUUAAACUAUUUAAAUAACUUUUUUAAAUACUUGGCGCUCAACUAUUGGUUAUAAUUUAAUGUAUUAAUAUCAUUUAUAAACCAACCCACUACCCACCCAUUACUAAUUAAACCCCACCCAAUUAAUAAACCAAUUCUAAUAUCAAAAUCGCCCUAAACACUACUAAAACACGACGAAAUUACAGAUUCCUGAAUAUGACAUCCAAAAUUAUUCGAGAUCGAACUUAAGCCCCAAUUAAAUUUAGGUUGGCCGCUUAUUUAGGAGGACACUUUCAAUAGGAUUCUCUUUCAACCUUGAAUUCAAAAUUUAUGAUUAAAGGUAAAGAAGUAGUAUAUCCUGAAUUAAUUCAUGCACUUUUUUUAAUAUAAUUAUAUAAAUAGUUAUGAUUUGUUUUAAAUUUUAAAACUUUAAUAUAUUUUUUUUUAAAAGUUAUCUAUUAAGUAACAUCACAUAAUUGAGACGAAGGAAUAAUUAAGAUCAACAUAGUCAGACUUUUAAGUUUAUCUGUAAUUUUUAUUUUGACACUUGAAUUAUAAUAUGUUUUAAUUGAGGACUUGAAUGUAUGAUAAUGUACUUCUAUAGACAUUUUCGCCUCAAAUUUUUAGAAACACUCAUUGGCCGUAGCUUUCCUGUUAUUGCAUUAGUAAUGGGGUGGGUUUAUUAAUUGGGUGGAGUUUAAUUAGUAAUGGGCGGGUAGUGGAUUGAUUUAUAAAUUAUAUUAAUAAUUUAAAUUAUAAAAAAUAGUUGAGCGUCACGUAUUUAAAAAAAACAUUUAAAUAGUUUAAAUUUAAAACCUUUAAAUAAGUGGUCAAUUUUGAACCCAAAGGUGGAUGACAAGGGUAUUUUGGAGCCAAUAGGUGGAUGAGAAGGGUAUUUUGGAGCCAUAGGUGGAUGGUAGUUUUUUACCAUUUCUAAUACUUCAAGGGUAUUUUAGACCAUUUUCCGUUAAUUUUUUUAUAUAAAAAGGGGUAAUACUACGUGGCAGCGCGUGUUGCCUACUGCCUAAUACAAAUCUGGGCGUGAAUUUGUAGGGGGCUAACUAUUUCACUUUUAAAAGGUUCAAGGGGUGAUAGGACCCUCGUGAAGAAUAAGUGUGUAGUUGAGAAUUCGGUAAUAGCUUGGGGGAGCUUUUGGCCAUUCUCGCUCUCUCUCUCUCUCUCUCUCUCUCUCUCUCUAUAUAUAUAUAUAUAUAUAUAUAUAUAUUCAAUCUUUCAUGGUAUCAGACCAAGUUUUAAAUCUCUGCUCCUAUUUUCAUUUUUGUCCUAAUCUAUUAUUUGCUACAAUGGGAGAUUUUGUAAACAUAUCUUCUAAGGCUCAAAUUUCCAUUAUUGCUAGAACUAAUGCAGCCACUAUGCUAAUAAACUCUUCUCAUCCUUUUUUUAUUAUUUCUCCUUCCAAUUCUCCUAGUAAAUUGUUAGUUAAUACAACUUUAAUGGCAAGAGUUUUGGGGGAUGGAAGAGAGACAUGCUCAUAGCGUUGUCUGCAAAAAACAAGUCAUGUUUUAUCAAUGGAUCAACUUGAGAACCUGUUGCUGGUACAGAUCUGCAUAGUGUCUGGUCCAGAGCAAACAAUAUGGUAAUUUCCUAGCUUUUGAACUCUCUUUCUAGAGAAAUUUCUGAAAGUGUUAUGUACUCUUCCACUGUUAAAGAUUUGUGGGCAUAAUUAGAAGCUAGGUUUGGACAGAGUUCAGGUGCUAAGCUUUUUCAGCUUCAAAAGGAACUUAAUGACCUUGUUCAGGGCUCCUAUAAUAUUGCGACUUAUUACACUAAGAUGAGACGUCUUUGAGAUAAAUUGGAUACUUUGGAUUUCUUCAUUUCAUGCAAUUGUGAUUGUUCUUGCGGAGCAAAGGAAAAGAACAUUAAGUUCAAGCAAGAUGAAUUAUUGGUUCAAUUUUUAAUGGGACUUAAUGACUCUUAUAGUGUACCUAGAGGUAAUAUACUUAUGAUUUCACCACUCCAUUCUAUCUCUAAUGCUUAUGCAUUGUUGAUGCAAGAGGAGAAACAAAGGGAGGUCCAGAAUACAUCAAAAUUUCUUAGUGAAUCUUCUUCAUUCAUUGCUAACAAUGGUCAGAGAUCAAUUUCUACUGACUUUAGGGGACAAAAAAGGAACUAUGAUAACAAGAAGUUGCAAGAAAAUAAGACAUAACAUUGAAAAAUGUUAUAAUAUACGAUAAAUGGAUUUCCAACUGAUUUUAAAUUUACUAAGCCAAGAAAUUUUCAUAAGAGUAAUGUCGUAACUUCUAAAGAUUUUUUGGAGAUUCUUUCAUGACUAGCGCAGAAUCAAAGGAGCAUGAGAAACUCCUCACACGAGUGCAACUGGUACAGGUCAUGCAGAUGCUUCAGCAGGUGAAAAAUAAGGAUCAGGGCAAUAAUUAUGAUGUAAUAGCUUCUGUCAAUCACUCAAUUGUGUUGGUAUUACUUUAACCCCUAAUCUCAUAUAUUAAUAGUAAAAACUUCACCAAAAAUACAUGGACAAUGAACUCAAGUGCAAUUGAGCAUAUGAGUUACAAUAAAGAUUUUUUUAUCAAUCUUAAACCAUUGCCUAAAAUUACUUUUGUAAGGCUUCCUAAUUCACAAAAGAUUAAGGUUUCUCAUUCAGAUUCUGUCAAACUAUUCUCAAAUUAAACCAUUUAUAAUGUGUUGUAUGUGUCUUGUUUCCAUUUCAAUUUAUUGUCCGUACACAAGUUGCGCAAAUAACUUUCUAAUAUAUUAUUUUUCACACCUUCUCAUUGUUCCGUGCAGGGCCCUUCAAUGAAUAGCCCGAUGCUCCUUGGUGAAAAUCAAAAUGGUCUCUAUAUUUUGAAGAAUAGGCUUUCAAUUGCUUCUUGUUCUGUCAAUUUCUUUUUAAGUCUAGCUCUAGUUUACAUUCUCUAAAAGAUGAUAAAUCCAGUUUGUCAUGUAUUUCCCUUUAGGUUAUUCAAAGCAAGUUAUGGCAUGUAAGGUUGGGGCAUAUACAUUUAUCAAAUAUGCAAAAUAUCAAUGGAAUUCAUGUUUCAGUUUUUUCAAAAAAAUUUGUUCCUUGUUCUAUUUGUCCAUUAGCAAAGCAAUCCAAACUCUCUUUUCCUAUUAGUCAUAUUUCGUCUCAACUAUUUUUUGACUUAAUCCGGAUUGAUACUUGGGACCUUAUAAAACCCCUACUUAUGAUAGUUAUAAGUAUUUUUUUAAUCACUACUUGAGGAACUUGAACUUUUUUACUAAGCACUAAAAGUAACGCUUUUUCUAUUCUCAAUUUUUUUUCCUUGCAAUAAUAGAAAGACAAUUCAAUAAGAAAGUUAAGGUCUUGGGAAUUGAGUACAAGCUUAGAAGCCUCUAAUUUUUUUUUACACAAGGCAUCAUUCAUCAAACUUCUUGUGUUGUCACACUACAACAAAAUGGUGUGAUUGAGAGGAAACAUAGGCAUCUUUUGAAAGUUUGUAGAGCUUUGCUUUUUCAAUAGCAUCUUCCAUCCAAAUUUUGAGAGGAUUGUCUUAUGAUAGCCACUUAUUUAAUCAAUAGAUGUCCGACUAAAUUAUAAUAUUUUCAAACACCAUAUGAGAAACUCUUCGGUCUUCCUCCAAAUUACUCUAAACUAAAAUGUUUUGGUUGUCUUGGUUUUUCCUCUACUCUUUCCAAGGGUAGAUCUAAAGUGGAUCCUAGUGUUGAAACUUGUGUGUUUCUUGGGUAUUCUUUUGGGAAAAAAGGGUAUAGGUUACUUAGUUUACAUUCCCAAAAAUGCUUUGUUUUCAGAAAUGAUAUUUUUUUAUGAAGAUCUAUACCCUUUUUCUUCUAUUCAGCCUACUGUUUUUGUUUUUCCUCUUACAUAUUCACUAAUUACACAUGAUCCUGAUUAUCAUUUAUACCCUCUCCUUUACCUAUUUCGUUGUUUCCUCCUAAUCAACUUUCUCCAGUACCUUCCACACUCACUCUUCCUUCACAAUCUUCGGUUUCCAUCCCUCCUAUCAAUUCUACCACCUUGAGAAAAUCUACCAGAUCUAUCAAGACCCUUGCAUAUUUAGAAGAUUACAUUUGUAAUAGUGUAUACUUUUCGAAUGUGUCUGAUACUUGUUUAUCUUCUCCUAUUUCUAUUACAUCAUUUCUCUUAAUGAUUUAUCCAUGUCUAAUCAACAAUAUAUCAAUUUUCUUCAACAAAUUAAAGAACCUAACAGUUUUUCCAAAGCCAUUUUACAUCCAGAUUGGCAGGAGGCUAUGACCAGAGAAUUAGAUGCUCUUAUCACCAAUAACAUCUGGGAAGUCGUAUCAUUACCUCCAUGAAAGAAGUCUUUACCCAAUAAAUGGACAAGGUCAAAUUCAACUCUAACAAUUUUGUGGAGAGACUUAAAACUCGGUUGGUUGUUAGGGGUGAUGUUUAAAAGGAAGGUGUUAUGAUAUGGAAUCAUGAGAUGAAAUUGAAGUUUUGUUUGGACAUAUGAUAUGGAAUUUUUGUGUUGUAUAUUUUCUCAUAAACAUUAAAAUUUCAUAAGUUGUAAAACUAUUAAAAUAGCCCCAUUGUUUAUUCAAUCUUAUCAAAUAAACAAAAAUUUAUAAAAUCGCAUAAUAAAUUAUUACAAAGUUAUUUGGUCUCCACUUAAAUAAUUAUUUCAUCUAACUUUAAUUUAAUAAAAAAAAUUGAACAUAAAUUGUAGUGUACUAGUCUUUAAUAUAAUCAUCCCACAUAGUACGGACAAUUUCUUCACGUUGAACUUGCAUUUCUCGAUCAUGUGACCGAGAAGACGAACCAACAUUGUUACUUUGAGCCAUUUGUUGGUCAAUAUCAUCCGCAACUAUAUUUUCAUGCUCACAAACCAUAAAUAUUUCAUCACUUUAACAAUCGGUUGAUGUGAGUUAAAGUGACUAUAUGUUGGUGAGAAUAAUAAGUUUUAUGUUGGUGAGAAUAAUAAAUUUUGAAAAGUAAUGAUGUGAUUAUAAAUUUUAUUUACAUAUGAAAUAAAUGGCUAGUAGAUAUAAAUGUGGGGUUGUUUUAACAAAAUAUAAACUCGUGGAUCAAUUUUUGUAUUAAAAUAUCUCAAAUCAUGAUAUGAAAUUCUCAUAUAAUUUCAUAUCAUGGUUUUUGGAGAAUAUGGAAUCACAUCACAUGAUAUGGAAUCAUGAGAUGGAAUCAGCGUAAAAUCGCAUGUCCAAACGUUGAUUCCAUCUCACGAUAUUUUUAUCGUGAUAUGGUAUUACAUGGCCAAACGCCUGCACUACAAAAAAUGCCAAUUUAUGGAAGUCAAAAUUACAAAUAACGGGGGUUUAGAACCCCCAGAAUUUGUUGUUACAAGGGUUUUAUUAGAAACUCCCGCAGUUAGGAUUGGUUGCAGCAGCCGGACUUUAACCUCCGUAAUCUUUUUUUGACAAAUGAUUUUAUUUCAUUUUGUGGGCGUUUAUAACCCCAACUAUUAAAUUUAAGUACUUCAUUUCGUUGGGGUUAUAACCUCCUCAAUACCUUUGAUAAAAUUAUAAUAUUCAAUUUUGCAGAGGUUGUAGUUUAUAUAAAAUUAAGGUACAACUAAUUUUCAUGCUAAUUUUAUAGUAAUUAGAUUACCAAUACAUUCAUAAUUAAAUUAAUGAAAUAUUUUAGAAUUAAAAAUACAAAGAUUUAAGUAAAUAACGAAAGAAGUUAACAUAAAUUAAUAUCAAAUGUCAUUAAAAAAUAGAGUACUCUCUUUAAACCAAAAGAACAUAAAAACAAAUAAAAUUGAUACGUUGUCUUUAUGUACACAAUGUCUGCUCAACUCACAACUUCUCUAAAAAUCUUAGUCUUUGGUCUGGCUUUAAGAAGAAAAAUUUUAUUCAGUGUGUAAUUGACAGUAUUAACAUGAUGCCAGGUCUCUCGGAUAUAGAACAAAUGCACCACACAGCUAUACCAAUGCAAGAACCUCCUUCAUUUGCUUCUGCAUUGCUGGAUUUCCCAUCUCAGGUGAAAACACGUAUCAAAACAAUUAGAGCUACGACCUUCUACCACUGUCAACCUUACCGAGUCAGUGAAGUCUACUCCACCAUCUUCACUAUAAAUAAUAAGUACAAAUACCUCAGCCUGUGUAGUGACAAUCACAAAAAUCACAUGGUGUAUUACUACUUGGCGCAAAAAUUACAAAACUGUGAUGUGCAUGGAAAAAACAUAUGAAUCAUAGGAACAAUCAGAUAUACCACACUAUCAGAUGUUUAGUAUGAAAUAUGAAAUGGAAACUUAAGAAAAAUGACUAGAUUAAAGAGCAAGGAGACAAGGCCUUUACUAAGGAUUUGCAGAAAAACAUUACAUUAGUACAUGAAGCUUACCAUAGGGGAAACUUGCAAGACUUCAAAAGAUAUAUAAUACAGAAAAAAAUGAGCUUCUCAUGGUGCAUGGGACCCCAGUAUUAACCUCUUAAUUCUACUACAUUGGGAUGGCUAAUAUUGGCAAACUCUUAGCCUUUUUUUGUGAAAUUUUUCCUCUGUUUUGUCACUCCUCUCAACCAUUUCACAAUCAGGAACAACCCAUUCUCUAGUGUUGCCCUAUAAGAUGUACAAUGACUGCUUCUGCCUAAGACUUUCAGCCGGUGCCCUGGAAUCAUACCAAGCAGAUUGGGGGAACUCCAAAACCUGCAGUUACUUCAUCUAUCGAACAAUCCAUUGGGUAUUUAGAAGGUGAAAUACCCAAUGGUGGUGUGUUCUUAGAUUUCAUCGCCGGCAAAAUUGACGACGCCGGAGAAUACGAAUCUCAAGACAAAUCAAUUGAUUCACAAAUCGAACCUUUUGUGAAAAAAAUCUAAAAUUAAGAUACAGAUCUAGAAACUUUGCAGAAACAAUGCAGUUGAUUUAUAUCUAAAUUAGGGCAAAAUUGUGAAAACUAGAGAAAGAGAACUCACAAGUGAAGUUAUUUAUUAUAUCUAAACUACGGCGAAAUUGUGAACACAGAGAGAGGAGAGGAGAAGAAUUAAUGACAGUGAAGGAACAAUGUUUGGAGGACAGGUUCUGUAAAAAGUAGCACUGGGGAAAUGCGCAGGAAAAGAAAAAUCCCCGCGAUGGUAUAGUAGAAUUUUAGUUUUUUGGAUUACCAAGGUUAAUGACCUCCACAGAUUGUCAGCAUACUUCAUCACCAUAGAUACUGCAAUACCACUGCAGAGACAAGUCUUGGUCAGUAAACAAUUAAAUGGCCACUGAUCCAUGAUGCAAUCAAUCCAAUUUAAAACAGAUGAAUGACAAAAUGUUAAACCAAAAAUCCACAGGCAAAAGAAAAGAAAAGGAAUAAUGCAGCAGUGAAAUAUCAUGUAUCAGCUCUCUGGCAAGUCAAUAUUAACACUAAAAUGAUCUGAGGAGCUAUUAAUCCUCAUGCAAAUAACUAGACCAUAUGUAUUCACCAACAUGCUCCAGUGAAAUAUCCACAAGCAUUCCAGUAACAAUAAGUCUUGAGUCAUCUCCCAUAUAGGAUAUAGGAGAGGAGAGAGUGCCACCAAGGUAUUGAAAUGAAAGAAAAGAAGUGGAGUUGAACUUUGCAGAAACAUAAGCAUUUCUGCCAUCUUUUCAGAGAGCGGUGCCAAUCAUGCAUAUGAUAAAAAGAAAAUGAAUUAUAAGACAUGGUAAUAGUAAUAAAACAACUACCAGAGAGUUAAGUUGGAGAAGCUUCAAUUAUUGUACAUAUAACUACAGUAGAUGGUUUUAUCCACUUAGCCACUACGCUCCACUAUUAGAUUCAGUUACUAAGAAAUCCAUUAAAAAGCAGCCCCAAAUGGUAACCUCAAGUUAACGAGAUCAUGCAUUUCGUAAUUAGGUAACCACCAAAUCCCUAAAGCUUGCCUCAUAUGCAAAGAACAAAACUGCUUAAAUUGAUCAAUAGGUAUACAUACAUAUAAAAUAAAUCACACUUUCAGAGGAGAUUCACAUGGUAUAUAAAACUAGUUCAUUACAAGAACUCGACUCACGUAUGGUCUAUGGACAACAGCAGGAGGCAAAAACAGAGGAUGCCUAUUUCCCCUUCCUACACAGGGUAUCAUUAACACGAUGGUACUACAAUUGCACAUAACAAUAGAUAUACUCUAGUAGAACAAAUGUAUAUCUAUAUAAUCUAGAGUAGAUAACACGAUGGUACUACAAUUGCACAUAACAAUAUCCAGAUCCUUCAAAUUCAGUCAACAUUCAGAACUUUAUUGGAUACUAGGACUGGAAAAUUCAGUCUAGAAAUAAUAAUAGAAGGAUCUGGAUAUUGUUAUGUGCAACUAUAAUAAUAUUUCACACAUUGCAUCAUAUGCUGAAACAUCUAAGAGCUUAGGAGUUAGAUUCAGUGCUAACAAUUCAGAAAUGCAGCUGAUUCCUCCUAAAGUACAACUUACCUCAUCAAUAUACUCAAUGAAAACACACUAAUUCCAUAAUCAAAAUUCAGAAAUAAAUCGAACAAACAACUAACUUUAGCUCUAUCUGAAUCAAACACACUAUUCAUAACUCCUAAUACUGCACAUGAGGGAGAAGAUAUUCUCACCUGUGACGAUUUUGAGAAUAUUCAUCGAUGGAAGAGCAAAUUUGCGAGCUUAGAGAGAAUCAAUCAAUCUUCGCUUCUCUUCUCUUCUUUCAUGGAAAAUCAACACCUAGCUUCUCUUCUCUUCUGCGAACAUAAAUCACCAGAUUUCUCCUCUUCUCUUCAUCUAAUCGAUGUUGUGGAGUGACAGAGAGAGAGAAAAUUCUGAGAGCAUUUUCCAAACCCUAAAAUUUUGGGAGGAAAAAUAAUGAGGGGAAGUUCCAAACCCUGGCACACAUUUUCAAUAUAAUAGUUUUUUUUUAAAGGCUUAAGUCAUUUGUGGCCCCUUAAAGUUGUCCGUAUAAUUCAUUUAGACAUUUCAACAAACCUUGUUUCCUAUUAGACACUCCAACCUUGAGAAAUAAAUACCUAUUGAACAUUUUUCUGACAUUUAGUCAAAAGAGAAAGUGUGUAAUACACAUGCAUAUGAUGCGGCAAAAUAGCAAAUCAAAUGGAGACACGUGGCAUUUUAAUUUAAAAUAAUUAUAAAAAUGAAUUUUAAACAAAACUUUUGGCUGAAAAACUAAAGAAGGUGAUGCAUAAGCUUGUGAACAAGCAACAAAUGGCCUUUAUCAAGAGCAGGCAGAUCAUGGAUGCAAUGUUGAUAGCCAAUGAAUGUGUUGAUUCCAGGAAAAAGGAUAAACAACCAGGGAUCCUAUGCAAGUUGGAUAUCCAGAAGGCAUAUGAUCACCUGAAUUGGAACUUUUUGAUGAAGAUGAUGCAGAGGAUGGGUUUUGGUCAAAGAUGAUUAAAGUGGAUCAGACAUUGCAUAAGCUCAGUGAAAUUCUCUAUUCUGAUCAACAGAAACCCAUGUGGGUUUUUCCCAUCAAACAGGGGUUUGAGACAAGGGGACCCCCUAUCUCCUUUUCUUUUUAUCUUGCCUAUGGAGGGGUUGAGCAACCUAUUCCAGACUACAAGAACAAAUGGUUGGAUCAAAGGUUUCAAAGUGGGGAGAAUACAAGAAACAAUCUAGAGAUCACUCAUCUACAGUAUGCAGAUGACACUUUAGUAUUUUGUGGAGCUGUAAAGGAGCACAUGCUAAUUUUGAGAGUCAUUUUAAAUAUUUUUGAGGCUGUGUCAGGUUUGCACAUAAACUGGAACAAGAGUUUCAUUUAUCCAGUAAACACAGUACCAAAUAUUGAGGACUUAGCUUACAAGCUUGGAGGGAAAGUAGGUGAACUACCAACAACCUACUUGGGAAUGCCUUUGGGGACCAAGAGCAAAUCAAGUGGAAUAUGGAGUGGUGUAAUUGAAAAGUGUGAAAGGAAGCUCGUGAACUAGAAGUGUCAAUAUCUAUCCUCAGGUAACAAACUAACUCUAGUCAACAGUGUCCUGGAUGCCUUGCCAUCAUACAUGAUGUCUAUAUUCCCUAUACCAGCCAAAGUAACCAAGAGGAUAGAUGCAAUUAGGAGGAACUUUCUAUGGAAAGGCAUUGAAGAUAAGAAGAAGUAUCAUUUGGUCAAAUGGGAGGAGUUGCUAGUUAGCAAGAGAGGGGUUGGACUCAACAUCAGAGAUCUGAGUACGCAGAAUAAGAGCUUGAUGAUGAAAUGGUUGUGGAAAUUUGCCUCACCAUAAGUAUCUCUAUGGAAGGAAGUAAUAACAGCAAAAUUUGGCAGACCAGCCCUUAUGAUUGUAGUGUGUGGAGAUCAAUCAGGAACUUAUGGCUACUGGUCAAAGAUAGAACAAAUUGUAAGGUUGGUAAUGGAGAAAAAGUGGCCUUCUAGAAUGACAUCUGGUGCGAACAGGAGACAGUCAAACAAGCAUAUUCCCUGAGCUACAUAGUCUAAGUCAAGCACAGGAAGCAUCAGUGGCAGACUUAUGGACAAGACAAGAGUGGAAUUUACAUCUGAGAAGAAACUUAAAUGACUGGGAAAUAACAUCCAUAGCAAGAUUUCAUGACACAAUGGCUAGGGCUACUAAUCUAACAGAAGAGCAAGAUAGACUGAUACGGGAAGGGGAGAGAAAGGGAGAGUUCACUCUAAGAUCUGCAUAUCGAGAAUUGAGACCCAUUGAAGAACAGCAAGCAGAAUGGCCUUGGAGGAUGAUCUGGAGAACAAAAAUCCCAUACAAGGUAAAUUAUUUCACAUGGCUUUUGGCAAAGGAGGAAGUCUUGACACAUGAAAACUUGAACAAGAGGAAACACAACUUUUGCUCUAGAUGUUAUUUAUGCGAGAACAGGUGGAGACAGUCAACCAUCUCUUUUUACGCUGCAAAUGGACAGAUCAAUUAUGGCAGAUGUUCAUUCACGAGAGGAAGAUCAAGUGGACAAAACCAGGGAGAAUCACAGAUGCUGGAAUAGUGAUGGAAAUGCAGGAAAAAAGGAGGAGAGAUGGAGGAUUGUCCCAGCAUGCAUUUGGUGGACAAUUUGGAAUGAAAGGAAUCAAAGAUGUUUUGAAGGAAAGAACAACAAUAUUCAGAAGAUAAAGAUAAACUACCUAGGUCUUUAUUAUUUUUGGUGUAAGCAAGUAGUAAUAGGAAAUUCUGAAGAUGUUUCUAAUGUUAUUGACUGGCUGUAACUAGAAGAUCUUAGGGCUGAUGUAAGUAUAAAUUUUUGGAGGGGAACUACACUUUGAUGUAGUAUACUUGUGGAUAUAUAGAAGUAAAUGUUACCUUUCUCAAAAAAAAAUAUAUAAACAAGUCAAAAUCUUAAAGGAAAAGACUUUAAACUUAAAAAAAAAACUAAAAAAAGGAAAGAAAUUAUACACCCACCCACCCCCGCACCCCACCCCACCGCAAGCCUCUCCCUUUCUUCUCUUUCUCUAAGAGUUCCACCAUUGUCAAUUCUCCAUUUAGAAAAAUUAGAGAUUUUAACAUUAUUAACAUAUAUUACAUAUGAAUUUAUCAUUUUUAUUUCUUUUUAUGCCUUCUUUCUUAUUUCCAUUUGAAUUGACAGUGUUUUCUUAAAAGAUCCAUUCCUCCUUUGUUUAUUUUGAUUUCAAAUUUGUUUUUUGUUUUUCUGUUUCUACUUCGAUUUGUGAGGAAGAAAGGGUGCGGGUCAAGGUGGUGUGUGGCAUGAGAGGUGAAGAGGGAGAGAGAAUAUUUGAAUAAUGAUCUUCAUUUUUUUCGGCAAAGAAGAUGUAGAUGGUCUCCACUUUUUCCGGCAAAUAAGACAUCUCCAUUUUUCCGAUAAAAGAUUGUGCAUGGUGAUCUCCAUACGGAAGUAGACAAUGAUAAGAAUAUUAAAAAUAAAAAUAAAAAGCAAGAAAUUUGUAAAAAAAAUGGCCAUGGAUUUGUGAAGCAAAGUGGUUGCAGCAUGUGUAUGGCCUUGAAAGAGAAGAAAAAUAAAAAGAUUGUUAUUGUUAAAAAAAUAAUGAGAAAAAAAAAGAAAAGAUUGAAAAGGAAAAGGGAAAAUGUCAAAAUAUUAAUUUCAGGCGCUCACCAAGAUGUGAAUUACACUUUUUGUGCCACCUCAGCAAAAAGUGUCUAAAUGGUUCAAAUUCGGGUGGGUAGAGAUGUUUAAUAGGUACUAGUCCUAGUUGAGGUGUCUAAGUAAAUUAUGCGGACAACUUUAAGGGGUUGUAGAUGACUUAAGCCUUUUUUAAAAGUAAAUACUACUCUAAUAAACUAACGGAGCAUAACCGCCACAAUUUUGAAUUAAAUUGCACGGGUUAAAUAAACCCCCGGAAUUUGACAUAAUUUCGGAAGGUUACUCUGACCUCCCCAAUUAAACCCCCACAAAGUAUGCAUUUUUUUUGUAGUGAUCGGAGAUGAGGACUCAUCAAUUAGUUUCUCAUCACAAGAUUCAACGAGCAACAAUAAUUUUGAUGGAUCCAAUUUAAUUGUUGUGGGAAGUUCCAUCUAUGUGUACAAAGGCACAUUAUCCAAAGAAAAUUGUCACUGCUAUGCUUAUUGCAGUAUGGCAAUUGAAUAUCUACAUCAUGGUAAUGACACUCUGAUGGCUCAUCGAGACCUAAAGCCAGCCAACAUUCUUUUGGAUGAAGAUAUAGUAGCUCAUGUAGGUGAUUAUGGCAUCUCUAAAAUUUUAGGCACAUACUGAGACAUUGGCACUUUUGGUUACAUUGCACCAGGUAUACUACUCUAUUUCUUUCUCACUUAUCUUAUACCCUUUCUAUUUGAAUUUUUCUCUUAUCUAAAUCAAGCCCUUGCAAAACAAAGGUCGCAUAUAUUAUUACUGUUAGAAUAGAAUAGGAAAACACAAUCCUACACAAACUAGGAAUAGUUUAUAGUCUCCUAUUUGGUAAGGAAUUGUAUUAUAUAGUGUCUAUAAAUAGGGUUCUCUAUGUAAUUAUUAAAACAACAAUUCAAUAAUAUAUUCUUUCCUUAUAUUUCUCACAUGGUAUCAGAGCAUUGGUGAGAAAAAAAAAAAAGUCAGAAUCCGGUGACUGUCAACGGCUGGUUUGCAUUGUUGUCUCGUUUUACAAGUGUAGUGCGACAACCCACACCACCAUGAGGUGCGGAACACUCAGGCGAGCAAACCCCAGUGAGCUCCUCUGAGUUUCACCGAGUCACGCGCCCUCACGCGCCGCCAGGAGUUCCAGGGUCGCGUCACCACGUGCAUCACGCGCCGGCGCGUGCGACACUUUCCGGCCAGUUUUUUCGAUCAAUUUUUUUUCAUUGAGGUCGCCUCUCCAUUCCGAGGCAGACUGUAUAUUUAUUUUCUUAUUCCGACCAGUUUCGGGCAGUCAGACCUAAUUUCCGGCGACUGCACCUUCUUUUUUUUUUUUUUCAGAUUCUGACCCGCCUUAUUUUUUAUUUUAUUUUUUCCUCUCUCUAAAUUCAUAAUGUCUUAAGGGAUUGAUAUUUUUGGCUCCAAGAAUAUAGGUAGUUCAAGUGCUAUGAUCACUUCAGAACCAUUAAUGGGAAGCUCAAACUAUUUAGCCUGGGCUUCCUCGGUUGAGUUAUGGUGCAAGGGGCAAGGCGUUCAUGAUCACUUAACCAACAAUACUUGUGUGGUAGAUGAAAAGGCAAAGGCUAGUGAGACAGAUAAUAACGUCAAAGCACAAUGGGAAAAGGUUGAUGCUCAAUUAUGUAGUCUCCUAUGGCGAUCUAUCGAUUCCAAGUUGAUGCCCUUGUUUCGCUCAUCCCAAACAUGUUAUUCAGUUUGGGAAAAGGCUCGUGCUUUAUAUACUAAUGAUAUAUCUCGAUUCUAUGAUGUGAUAUCUAGAAUGACUAGCUUAAAGAAACAAGAAUCCGAUAUGUCUACUUACUUGGGUCAGGUACAAUCAGUCAUGGAGGAAUUUGACACGUUGAUGCCAAUCACUACAAAUGUGGACAAACAACUAGAACACAGACAGACGUUGUUUCUAGUUCUUACACUUGCUGGACUCUCUACUGACCAUGAUUCAGUGCGUGAUCAGAUUUUAGCUAGUCCUACAAUUCCUACAGUUGAUGAAUUAUUCUCUCGUCUACUUCGUNNNNNNNNNNNNNNNNNNNNNNNNNNNNNNNNNNNNNNNNNNNNNNNNNNNNNNNNNNNNNNNNNNNNNNNNNNNNNNNNNNNNNNNNNNNNNNNNNNNNNNNNNNNNNNNNNNNNNNNNNNNNNNNNNNNNNNNNNNNNNNNNNNNNNNNNNNNNNNNNNNNNNNNNNNNNNNNNNNNNNNNNNNNNNNNNNNNNNNNNNNNNNNNNNNNNNNNNNNNNNNNNNNNNNNNNNNNNNNNNNNNNNNNNNNNNNNNNNNNNNNNNNNNNNNNNNNNNNNNNNNNNNNNNNNNNNNNNNNNNNNNNNNNNNNNNNNNNNNNNNNNNNNNNNNNNNNNNNNNNNNNNNNNNNNNNNNNNNNNNNNNNNNNNNNNNNNNNNNNNNNNNNNNNNNNNNNNNNNNNNNNNNNNNNNNNNNNNNNNNNNNNNNNNNNNNNNNNNNNNNNNNNNNNNNNNNNNNNNNNNNNNNNNNNNNNNNNNNNNNNNNNNNNNNNNNNNNNNNNNNNNNNNNNNNNNNNNNNNNNNNNNNNNNNNNNNNNNNNNNNNNNNNNNNNNNNNNNNNNNNNNNNNNNNNNNNNNNNNNNNNNNNNNNNNNNNNNNNNNNNNNNNNNNNNNNNNNNNNNNNNNNNNNNNNNNNNNNNNNNNNNNNNNNNNNNNNNNNNNNNNNNNNNNNNNNNNNNNNNNNNNNNNNNNNNNNNNNNNNNNNNNNNNNNNNNNNNNNNNNNNNNNNNNNNNNNNNNNNNNNNNNNNNNNNNNNNNNNNNNNNNNNNNNNNNNNNNNNNNNNNNNNNNNNNNNNNNNNNNNNNNNNNNNNNNNNNNNNNNNNNNNNNNNNNNNNNNNNNNNNNNNNNNNNNNNNNNNNNNNNNNNNNNNNNNNNNNNNNNNNNNNNNNNNNNNNNNNNNNNNNNNNNNNNNNNNNNNNNNNNNNNNNNNNNNNNNNNNNNNNNNNNNNNNNNNNNNNNNNNNNNNNNNNNNNNNNNNNNNNNNNNNNNNNNNNNNNNNNNNNNNNNNNNNNNNNNNNNNNNNNNNNNNNNNNNNNNNNNNNNNNNNNNNNNNNNNNNNNNNNNNNNNNNNNNNNNNNNNNNNNNNNNNNNNNNNNNNNNNNNNNNNNNNNNNNNNNNNNNNNNNNNNNNNNNNNNNNNNNNNNNNNNNNNNNNNNNNNNNNNNNNNNNNNNNNNNNNNNNNNNNNNNNNNNNNNNNNNNNNNNNNNNNNNNNNNNNNNNNNNNNNNNNNNNNNNNNNNNNNNNNNNNNNNNNNNNNNNNNNNNNNNNNNNNNNNNNNNNNNNNNNNNNNNNNNNNNNNNNNNNNNNNNNNNNNNNNNNNNNNNNNNNNNNNNNNNNNNNNNNNNNNNNNNNNNNNNNNNNNNNNNNNNNNNNNNNNNNNNNNNNNNNNNNNNNNNNNNNNNNNNNNNNNNNNNNNNNNNNNNNNNNNNNNNNNNNNNNNNNNNNNNNNNNNNNNNNNNNNNNNNNNNNNNNNNNNNNNNNNNNNNNNNNNNNNNNNNNNNNNNNNNNNNNNNNNNNNNNNNNNNNNNNNNNNNNNNNNNNNNNNNNNNNNNNNNNNNNNNNNNNNNNNNNNNNNNNNNNNNNNNNNNNNNNNNNNNNNNNNNNNNNNNNNNNNNNNNNNNNNNNNNNNNNNNNNNNNNNNNNNNNNNNNNNNNNNNNNNNNNNNNNNNNNNNNNNNNNNNNNNNNNNNNNNNNNNNNNNNNNNNNNNNNNNNNNNNNNNNNNNNNNNNNNNNNNNNNNNNNNNNNNNNNNNNNNNNNNNNNNNNNNNNNNNNNNNNNNNNNNNNNNNNNNNNNNNNNNNNNNNNNNNNNNNNNNNNNNNNNNNNNNNNNNNNNNNNNNNNNNNNNNNNNNNNNNNNNNNNNNNNNNNNNNNNNNNNNNNNNNNNNNNNNNNNNNNNNNNNNNNNNNNNNNNNNNNNNNNNNNNNNNNNNNNNNNNNNNNNNNNNNNNNNNNNNNNNNNNNNNNNNNNNNNNNNNNNNNNNNNNNNNNNNNNNNNNNNNNNNNNNNNNNNNNNNNNNNNNNNNNNNNNNNNNNNNNNNNNNNNNNNNNNNNNNNNNNNNNNNNNNNNNNNNNNNNNNNNNNNNNNNNNNNNNNNNNNNNNNNNNNNNNNNNNNNNNNNNNNNNNNNNNNNNNNNNNNNNNNNNNNNNNNNNNNNNNNNNNNNNNNNNNNNNNNNNNNNNNNNNNNNNNNNNNNNNNNNNNNNNNNNNNNNNNNNNNNNNNNNNNNNNNNNNNNNNNNNNNNNNNNNNNNNNNNNNNNNNNNNNNNNNNNNNNNNNNNNNNNNNNNNNNNNNNNNNNNNNNNNNNNNNNNNNNNNNNNNNNNNNNNUAAAGACCUUGGCAGAUUGAAGUAUUUUCUUGGUAUUGAGGUUGCUCAGUCUAGAUCAGGUAUUGUUAUUUCUCAACGCAAGUAUGCUUUAGACAUUCUUGAGGAGACAGGAAUGAUGGGAUGUAAACCCAUUGACACUCCUAUGGAUCCGAAUGUUAAACUCCUUCCAGGACAGGGGGAGCAACUCAGUAAUCCUGAAAGGUAUAGACGGUUGGUUGGAAAGUUGAAUUACCUCACUGUGACUAGACCGGACAUCUCUUUUCCUGUGAGUGUUGUAAGUCAGUUUAUGACUUCUCUUUGUGAUAGUCAUUGGGAUACAGUUGUUCGUAUAGUCAGCUCCUGGUAAAGGACUACUCUUCGAGGAUCAAGGCCAUGAGCAUAUCACCGGAUAUACAGACGCUGAUUGGGCAGGAUCACCCUUUGAUAGACGUUCUACAUCCGGAUAUUGUGUUUUAGUUGGAGGUAAUUUGGUGUCAUGGAAGAGUAAGAAACAAAGUGUGGUUGCUCGAUCCAGUGCAGAAGCAGAAUAUCGAGCAAUGGCUGUAGCAACUUGUGAGCUAGUUUGGAUCAAACAGUUGCUUGGAGAACUGAAGUUUGGAGAAACCGGUCAUAUGGAACUUGUGUGUGAUAAUCAAGCAGCCCUUCAUAUCGCAUCAAAUCCAGUGUUUCAUGAGAGGACUAAGCACAUUGAGAUUGAUUGUCACUUUGUAAGAGAAAAGAUACUCUCAGGAGAUAUUGUUACCAAAUUUGUGAAGUCAAAUGAUCAACUUGCAGAUAUCUUCACCAAGUCUCUUACCGGUCCUCGUAUUAAUUACAUUUGUAACAAGCUAGGUACAUAUAAUUUAUAUGCACCAGCUUGAGGGGGAGUGUUAGAAUAGAAUAGGAAAACACAAUCCUACACAAACUAGGAAUAGUUUAUAGUCUCCUAUUUGGUAAGGAAUUGUAUUAUAUAGUGUCUAUAAAUAGGGUUCUCUAUGUAAUUAUUAAAACAACAAUUCAAUAAUAUAUUCUUUCCUUAUAUUUCUCACAAUUACUUCACUUCACGACAAUACUAACUAGUAUGCCACGAAUCUUCUACACUUUCUUAUUCUAUGUAAAUAUAUAGUUGGUCGAAUGGGAAAAGAAAAAGAAAAAGUAAAGAGAAAAAUAAAACAAAAGCUGAUAAAAAAUGGCCAUAAGUGGUAGAUUGUUACGUACCGCCAAACAAAUGGGGUUAGGUGACAAUAAUGGCGGCCAGAAGCAGCAGCAACCUUGUUAUUCUUUGAUGAGUAAUUAUUGGUUAAGGUUUAAAUAUUCAAACAAAGGAGGCCGAGAGAAGGAGCCAAUGGCAAUGUCUUAAGGCUGUUGGUGGGGCAGACACUGUUACAUUGUUGGUUGCAGUGAAAGUCUGAAAGAUACUUAAAUUUUUUAUAUAGCACGUCUUCAAGUUAGAACAGAUAAAUUGCGUAUGUUAGAAGUUACAAACUAAUAUCUUUUUUAUGGUGAUUCAAUUUGAACUUUGUGGACCAACUUCUACUAAAACUACUAAAUUUUACAUGAUAUGAUUUUUACUUUUGUUUGCAAAAAUAGAAAGCUUUAAUUAGGAGUAAAUAGUUUCAACUUUCGACAGACGCAUGACCAAGUUAAGUGAUGUACCUCAAGCUUAAAUUAGAACAAUCAACAUUCAAUAACUACAACUACAUCAGUACAUACCGAGCUUAAACUAGUAGUGGUCGCCUUUCUGGAUCAGUAUGCAUUCCAUUUGGACAGGUUGAGAUGCUUCUUCCUUUUAGAGCUUCAGUUAAAUAAUUUUCUUAGUACAUCCUGAUUUCACUUUAUUUUUUUUCAUAUAUGAAAUUCAAUGAGACUUACUGAUAAAAUGAGUCUGGAUUAUGAUUGAUCCCACCAAGGUCAUAGGCAGGUUUCCAACACCAAUAACUUUCGAAUUGUAGCUCUAUCCUGUUUCAGUCCUUCCUUUAGCUUAUCAUCUUUUCUCUGUGGAAGGCAGCCAAAUCGCAUUGAUGUUUAGCAGUCGGAAAAAAUACUAGGCAAUAACAAACGAAACUGAACUUUGUAGAGUUUCACGUAUACAAAAACUCACCCAACACAAACGUGAAGAUAACUAAACGAGUUCCACAAAUUUAAAAGCUUCAAAAUUGAAUUUUUCUAAAAAUAUCAUGCUAAUUGAUUAUGGUAUAUGAGAAGCCCCAAUUCAGCGAGAAACCAUAAACAAAGAUUUUCAAAUUCGACAGAGAAGAUCUAAAACAACAACAAAAAUAAUACAGUGGACAUGCAUGUCACAUACUUAAACUGAUGGUUCCUGGUAGAUAAGAGAAGUUUACAUCUUUUAAAAAGCUUCCUGCAUAUUUCCAUAUAGUUGUUCCAAGCUUGAAUUUUUCUGCAUAUUUUUCCGUGUAGUAGCGACUAGUCAGUUUCUUCGCAACUGUACAACAAGAAUAUAUUAGAUUGUCUAACAAUUAAAACAAAGGAAAGAACAAUCAAGUCAUUGUCUUAAUGUAGCUUUUAAAUUGACAAUUGAAGGACAAACUAAUUCCCUAAGCUGAAAAUUUACCUGUGUUCAAAAGUAACCAGGUUUUUUGUAUGCAUUGGUAACUCUGGGAAAGAACAAUCAAGUUAUUAAAAUAUAUGGGAAAGGAAAAACACAAAUCAACAGAAAAAAUAAAUGUAAAACAUUAGAUCAAAAGAAUUGAAUCAACUAUUCAAAUUUUACCAUUGCACAUCAUAGAGAAAAGGACGGGGCGAGCAAUUUGCCGCUUGAACAGAUCGAGAGAAGCAAGUUCAGUAAUUGAGUAUUUGGCAAGAAAUUUCAGUAAGGUCUAAAUUAAACUGUGAAUUUGAACUGAAAACAACAAAAACACCAAAAUACAGGUAGAAUGAUCUCAAAUUCCUGAUUAAAAAUGUUGAUUGCAUUAAAGCACUUAACUUAACAAUUGCAUUUCCUAGGACAGAAAAUUCAGUAUAUGUGAUGUCAAAGUUUAAACUUUGACUUGCAACGUUACCUACACGACAUGAAAAUUGUCCUAAAGCUUCAAUAAAUGGAAUAGACUUGAUAUCCCCUGCACAAGGAUCAGUCACUUUGAGAAAACAUAUCCACAAACAACUUAUUAUGCCUAUUGUCAAACAACAAAGACACCUGUGGCGUCACCAAUUAACGUUCAAGUGAGAAUAGAUCUCAAAUUGCGAGUAGAAGUAGUAUUAACCACACUGUUCAAUUUUAACCAGAAAGCUUGUUAAUGUAAAAAUAUGACACUUGGGCCUAACUCAAUCCCAAAAGCUAGCUCAUGAGGGGAGGUUUGUCCAAGUCCAUAAAAGGAGACCAAAUUUCCAUCCCUCUACCGAUGUGGGACAUCUUAACACUCCCCCACACGCCCAGACCUCAACUGGAGCGUGAACACUUCUAAAUGGGGAGCCCAUCAUUGGUGAACAACAAAUUGGGAUGAGAUAUGACACAUGGGCCUAACUCAACCCCAAAAGCUAGCUCAUGAGGGGAGGUUUGUCCAAGUCCAUAAAAGGAGACCAAAUUUCCAUCCCUCUACCGAUGUGGGACAUCUUAACACUCCCCCACACGCCCAGACCUCAACUGGAGCGUGAACACUUCUAAAUGGGGAGCCCAUCAUUGGUGAACAACAAAUUGGGAUGCAUGAAAAUUGUCCUAAAGCUUCAAUAAAUGGAAUAGACUUGAUAUCCCCUGCACAAGGAUCAGUCACUUUGAGAAAACAUAUCCACAAACAACUUAUUAUGCCUAUUGUCAAACAACAAAGACACCUGUGGCGUCACCAAUUAACGUUCAAGUGAGAAUAGAUCUCAAAUUGCGAGUAGAAGUAGUAUUAACCACACUGUUCAAUUUUAACCAGAAAGCUUGUUAAUGUAAAAAUAUGACACUUGGGCCUAACUCAAUCCCAAAAGCUAGCUCAUGAGGGGAGGUUUGUCCAAGUCCAUAUAAGGAGACCAAAUUUCCAUUCCUCUACCGAUGUGGGACAUCUUAACCGUUAAAACUAAAUUCUCAUUUACACCAACACAAUCCUAGAAGCAAGUAGCCACAGCAGAUACACACUAAGUUAAUGCAAUUCAUUUCCUAGAGUUGCUUGCGAGUGGAACUAAAGAGAUUUCCUAGAAAAAUUGGAAAUGCUAUUUCGUAGUUAAUGCAGUUCAUUAUUUUGCAAUUACCAGCAUAGGUAGCUAAAUCAUAGUUCAAAUUUAACAAUUUCGAAUCUUCAUCCACGAAAAGUACAACAAAUUUGUCCAUGCAUCUAUAGAGACAACAAAAAGCGAACUCACCUAAUAAAAACAAACCAGUAAUUUGUCCAAAACUUUCCGAUCCGAGAUUCAAUCUAUGAAGAUUAAGAUGAGGAAAUCCAAAGACAUGAGAGGAGUGGAAAAAAUACCUUAAAAUAUAGAUAUCCCAAUUUCGAAUCUGAUGAGGUAGCUGCAGUUUACAUAGUUGAAGAAGUGGCGGUGUGGUGGUGAGAAGAGUAUAAACUAUUUUGUAUUUUUUGGAAUUAAAAAUACAUAAUAAAAAUAGAGAU
rnacentral:lncRNA from 1 species